GAAAAGCACGUUAUAGUUCCAGACAUGUGUUCCGACAUGGAAACAUCAUCAGACAAGUACGUGGAAGACUACAUUUGCAACCUCACUAAAACAACCCUAGACUUUUCCAAGCCAUUAUGGGACCUUCAUCUCCUCAACGUCAAAACCUCCGACGCCGAGGCCGUCGCCGUUUUCAGGAUUCACCACUCCCUCGGCGAUGGCACGUCUCUCAUGUCUCUUUUACUUGCAUGCACACGCAAAGCCUCGGAUCCCACGGCUCUGCCUUCGGUUCCCAUGAUGAAGAAACCAAAAUCAUCGGCUGGGUCUGGAAAGUGGUGGAAGGCUUUCAGACUGGUUUGGAAUACGAUCAUCGAUGUUUUGAUGGUGAUCGCCACAGUGUUGUUCUUGAAGGACAGAGACACGCCUCUUAGGGGUCCGCCCAAUGUUGGAUCCACAGGACGGAGAAUUAUUCACAGGACGAUUAGUCUGGAGGAUGUUGUGAUGAUAAAAAAUGCAAUGAGCACUGUAAGUCAACUUGUUGCAUGCAUGGAAAACAAAUACAUGUUUUGCAACUGUUUUAAAAAAAACAAUUUCCUGUUUUUCAAAUAAAAUAAAUAGAAAAACACUUUAGAUAAAAAAAAAUUAGAAAAUAAGGUAUUUUCAAGGAACAACUUUCAAUUAUUUUUAUUUAUAUUUUCAUUUGUUUUUGUGAUAAUUGUUUUUUAAAAUAAUUAUAUAAAUAUAAAUAAUAAUUAAAAAUUAAAAGCACAAGUUAUUUUCAAAAAUAUAUUUAAAAAUAUAGAAAUCAAGUUAAAAAUAUUCUAGAGUCAUUCCUGAAUAAAAAUUAUUUUCCAUAAAUGUUUAUAAAAAACACUUAACAAACAAAGCUAUGAUUUUUUCUUUUUUCGACUAUGUCCCAUAAUUUUUUUAUUUUUUUAAAGCAGAGAAAUACAAAGCUUUUUUACUUUUCGAUCACUUCAAUGAAAGAGUGGGUAAUCAUAUAUUUGAAGAAGUUUACAACUCCUCUCUCAAUCAUUAGUGGAGAGAUUAAGAACUAAAAUUUUUGUGGCUCUCAUGUGCAGACUGUUAAUGAUGUUAUGGUGGGAAUCACACAGGCUGGUUUGUCUCGGUACCUCAAUAGGCGAUAUGGUGAGCUCCUAUUUUAAUUUUCAAAAUUCAUAUAUUAAGUGGUACGGUGAAGAGUAAUUAUAAUACACCACCUAGCUACUCUCUCUAUGUAUAAAAGGAUGUUAUAAAGCUUGUAUGCUCUACAUGGUAGCUGAAGGCAAGAAGAAUAAAGGGGCAACAGAGAAGAAAAAUAAUCUUCCCAAGAACCUUUCUAUCAGAGCAACUCACUUCAUUAACAUAAGACCAUCUGCAGGGAUCCAUGUGGGUGUUUCUACUUUCUUUAUCAAGCCCUCGUGAAGGAAUUAGUUAAUUUCUCUUUGGGAAGUGUUUUCAAAAAAUGAAACAAAAGUUUUUGAAAACUGUUAUUUGAUAUUUUAUGGAAUAAAAGUUUGUUUAAAAAUCUAAAAUUAAUGUUAUUUAUGUUUUCUAUGUUUUAAAAUAGGUUUUAUUAUUAAUUGAUCUCCAUAUUUUUAUAAUUAUUUAUUAAAUGGUUCUUAAAAAAUAAUCAAAAAAUAUUUUCUGAAAACACAUCAUUUUUAAAUAAUUAUUUUAUUUAAAUUUGUUUUCAAAAUUUAAAAAUUAUAUUAAAAUCAAUUAUCAAACAAGUCCUUAAUUUCUUGUCUCAUGCAUGUAUACAUUGAUAUCGUACAGACCUUAGCUGAAAUGAUGGAGAAAGGCUCUGAAGCAAAAUGGGGCAACUGGAUUGGCUAUGUCCUUCUCCCUUUAUCCAUUGCAUUACGAGACAAUCCUUUAGAUUACAUUCAAAAAGCUAAGGAAGCUAUGGAUAGAAAAAAAGCCUCUCUUGAAGCUCUCUAUAUACAUUCCAUGGCUAAGUCAAUUCCCAACUUAUUUGGCACUAAGGUAUGAAUUAAUAUCACUCAACCCUAGCUUGUUUCCUCAAAAUUAAGUACUUCUAGCUUAAUUAAUAUCACUGUCUAAUAAACAAUUAAAAGUGGUAAAUAUAGGCUCACUUCUUUCAUUGGUAAACAGACUGGAAGUGUUCUAUGCCUCAAAGUCCCCUCUCGUACGACAAUAUGGUUCUCAAAUGUAGUUGGACCCCAAGAAGAAAUUGCCUUCUUUGGCCAUCCAAUAGCCUACAUUGCUCCAAGUUGUUUUGGUCAACCCAAUGUAAGUCUUCUUAAACUUUGUUUGACAAUGUUUUAAAAAAUGCUUUAGCCUAUAAAAUGUUUUACAAAAAAAAAAUUAAAAUUUAGAAAUCACUUUCAAAAAGUUAAAAAGCCACUUAUAGAUAUUUUCAAAGAAACAUUUGAUAGAUAAUUCUCUUAAUACUUUUAAGUAAAACACUCUCGAGAAAAACACUUCAAAUUACAUUCUUAGAAUGCGUUUGAUAAUAUUUUUAUUCAAAAUGUUUUUAAUGAAAGCAUAUUCUCUGAAAAUGUUUUACGAUAAAUGUCUAUCAAAUAAUUCUCCAAAAAACAGGAUAAUUGAUUUUUCAAUACUAUAAAUAAUUUUUCAUAUUUGUAAAAGCGUUUCCCAUAUUUUAUCAAAUACUUAAAGAUAAAAAUGUUUGUUAAAAUCAUUAUCUAACUCUUAUUCAUGAAACAUAAACUUUUCUCUUUCUUAUGAAUUAUUAGCCAUUUUUAGUACUGUAAAAAUGGUGGUUGAUUCAAUCUGAAUUCGAGUCUCUUGAAUAUCUAUUGCAGGCAUUGAUGAUUCAUGUGGUGAGCUAUGUGGAUAAAAUGAAUAUCAUUCUAUCAGUUGAUGAAAGUACAGUCCCUGAUCCUCACCAGCUGUUUGAUGACCUUGAAGAGUCUUUCAACCUCAUCAAGAAUGUUGUGAUGGCUAGAGACUAAACUCCACAGAAUGUCAUGUAGCAAGGGCUAGGGUCAAUGUAAUUAAUAUAUAUAAUGUUCUGAAAUCAUUGUCUUAAGGUUCCUGCAAUAAUGAUGUUGUAUUAGAUGGCUCUCUACUAAAUAAAAAUGCCUCUCUACUGUAUUUUUAUCUUAAUUCAAGUUCAUAUUUUUUGGACUUUAUUUCAUUUUUAUUUACUGUAUUUUGAUGACUAAUUAUGGGUUCUUUCUAAUUUUAUCUUUUAAUUUUUUAUUCUCUUUUUUUUUUUUUUUUGAUUCCUCAGAUCUUUUGCAGUAUCCAUUUUUAAUUUUAAGGCUUAAAUUUCUACUUCAUUUCAUUAAUUUCUUCCAUAAUUUUUAAUUUUUAUUAUUAUUAAAUAAUUGUAAUAGCGUUAAUAUGAAGUUUUGGGCUGGCUUACAGAAGAACCCAUCUCCUAGUUUAUAUUGAUCCCUAGCAUUUUAUUAAUGGAUAUAACUAUCAAAAUGCUUUCAAAACACAUUUUCCAUUUAAAUGAAAAUAUUAAUUAAUUUUCUAUAGAAAUAUCUUCAAUAGAGUGUUAGUGACAAAAUGGUAAAAAAAGAAAAAGAAUGUUUUAACAACAAUCACCUUGAAAUCCUUCAUGUGCUACAAAACAAAUUGAUUGGUUUAUUCAUCAUGAAAUUUCAUGUUAAUUAGGCUUUAGCUGAGAUGAUGGAGAAGGAGUCUAAAGUGAAAGGGGGAAAUUGGACUGGAUCUAUGUUCCUCCCUUUUGCCAUUGUCUUAUACGAUGACCCUUUAAAUUAUGUUAGUCAAACUAAAGUCACAAUCGAUCGAAAGAAGCAUUACCAUGAAGCUAUAUUUACAUUUUUCAUUAUUAAGAUGGUUCUCAAAUUAUUUGGUGCUAAGGUAUGAAUUUCCUUAUCCUUAAUAUUGAAAUAGAUCACCUAGGAAAUUAUAGAUUUUCAAACUCCUGUUCUUAAAUAAUAAUAAUAAUAAUAAAAUCUAUUGUCUAUUUUUUGUUUCUUUCCUUUCUAUUUUCUUCUUAUGAUCUUACCUAGGAUUUUUAUUAUUAUUAUUAUUAUUUUGCAUGGCAAAUAAGUUGCAGCAUUUUUAUACCAUAGAGUUAUAAAUCAUACAAGAAUGUGCUUCUCAAAUGUAGUUGGACCUAUGGAAUAAAUCGGUUUUUAUGGCCAUCCAAUGGCUUUCCUUGCUCCAAGCGUUUACGGCUAACCUCAUGUAUAUAUAUAUAUAUAUAUAGUUAUUUGAUUAAAUGGAUUAUUGAAAACCCAAAUUUGGAAAAAUGACCUUCAUGGUUUGAAAGUAUGAACUAUGAUCCAAAAAUUAUAUUUGUAUUCAUCAAAUUUUUCUUUACAUUUAUUAUAUUUACACAUUCACUUUAAAAUACUAACUAUAUUAACACAUCACCUACAAAUUUCCAAUAUCAUAAAAACACUCUUCACAUUCUUCUCUUCUAUACCUAUCCUUUUUUUUUUUUCUCUAUUAACUUUUUUCUUCUCAAUAAUAAAUCCUAAAAGAAACUAUCUUUUAGGGCUUAUUCUUCAUGUAAAUUUUGACUAAAAAAAUAUGUUGUAAAAACAAUUAGAAAGAAUUUAUAAAAAAUUAGAAAUGAGAAAUCAUGAAAAAGUGCAAAAGAAAUUAUAUUUGGACUGAUUUUUUACUCUGUGUUUUGUGGUAGGGAUUCAUGAUUGAUUUCCAAAGUUACAUCAAUAAAAUGACAUUUGUUCUUUCUGUUGAUGAAGAAAUAAUUUCCGACCCUCACCGAUUAUGUGAUGAUCUUGAAAAGUCAUUUAAGUUUAUCAAAGAUGUUGUCAUUGCAAGAGGGUUUGUCCAUAAAAUUUCCAUAAAAUAAGAAUGAUUAGUACAUGUUACAUCUAUGUGAACUAUGAAGAUCUGUGUGUUCUUAUGGUCAUUUGCAGUUUUAAUCGUAUGUGUUUUAAGUGAAAUGUUUUAUUUUCGAAUAAAUUUUGAACUUUCUAAUGUUAUAUGUAUGUCACAUGCAUGUAUGCUUUGAAAUUUUUAUAUGAGAAUAAGACAUGUGGGUCAUGCCUUGUUCUGGGAAUGGGCCUAACUUGGGCCAGGCUUGGGCUUGAGCCUAACUGGGUCUUAAGUUGGGUUAAUUAGAACGAUGAAGUCAAAGAAUUGCAAAAUUUUGGGUUCCAUGAUAUCUCAAAAUUUCAAGAUAGUUUUUUCCUGAUUCUUACAAAAUUGGGUACAUAUCUACAUAGGUUGUUAGAGAUACUGUGAGGGAUUUGCACCACCUCAAACAAUAUUCUAACUAAAAAUGUCUCGUUCGGAUACACUUUUUCAUUUUUCUUUUUUAGAAACAAAAAGUUUUAAUAAUUUCUAUAUGAAAAUAGAAGUUCUUAUAUUAAAAAAAAGGUACAUGUUUACCCUGUGUCCUUAUAAUUUAUUUUAAAUAUUUUAAAAUUUUAGAUGAUAAUUUUUUUAAAAAAAAAAUUUAGUUUUUAAAAGUCAUUGUUUUUUGGUGUAAUUCUCUAAGAUUUUUUAUAUUUAAAAGAAAUAAUAAAUGAUAAAAAUUGUGGUAUAUAUAUAUAGAGAGAGAGAAAAAAUAUAUAUUAUGCUCAACAACCCAUUUAAAAUAAUGAUUUAUAUACUCAAAAACAGUUUAAUAUGAUGAUUUAUUUAGCUAAAUAUAUUUAAGAAUAUAAAAAAAUCAUGAUACAGAUAUGACUACUUUUUAAUUAUUUAAAAAUAUUUAAAAUUUUAUUUACAAGUUUAUACUUUUCUUAUAUUUAAUAUUAAAAUGUUAAUUUAAUUACAAAAAUGAUUAUGUAGUUUGAUAAAUUUAAAAAAAUUAUUAGUUUUAAUAUUUUAGAUUAUAAUAAAUCGAUUUUAUGUGCUUUUAUAAAUAUCAAUGAAGUUUAGCUUGGUGGUGAAGUGGCAUGAUAAAAGUUGUUUUCCUUUAUUUUUCAAAUUAUAAAGAAUAAAAUAAUAUAUAUAUAUAUAAGAUAAAUUUCACCAUACAUUAAAAUUUGAAAUUUCAUUAAAUCUAAACUUUUUCUUUAAUAAUUUUUUAAAACUUUCAUAUUUACCCUUCAUUUUCUUUCUCUUGUAUUUAUUGCGGACCAAACUUGUCAUAAAAUAAGUCAAAUUCGUUUUUGAUCUCUCUAUUCUCUAGCAAUCUCAAAUGGACCCAAGAUUGAGGCCACUCUAUCAAGACUUAAAAAUCAACACAAGGAUCAACAAAAUGUGUGGACAUUAACAUCGGAAUCAUAAAUAAUCAACUACGUACCUUUUUUAUAUUAAAUAUUAAAUGUCAUAUUAGAACAUUCUUCAAAAUUGAAAAUAAUAAAAGUAGAAAUUCAACAUCAUACCUCUGACUAUGGCCAUCAAAUUCACAAUUUUUGGGAGUAAAUAAAAAACAUAAUAAAAUUAGGGAUUUGUUUGGCUAGUUUUUCUAAGACCUUAUAUCUUAUGAAAACUCACAAACUUCCUAUAAACUAGAGACUCUUAUCUAUAUAAAGUUUUAAUAUAAAAUAUGAUAUUUUCUUAUAUUUUCUUUCCAUCAAAGGAGACAAAAUAAAUACCAAGUAGUAGUUACCACUAAAAGUGUGUCAUGACUAUAAAAGAUGGUUACAACACUAAGAGAUGUGUUUGUAUUCAAUGUGUCACAUGUUUUAGGGAAAAUAAUGUAUUUAAAUUUAAAUUUAAAUAGAACACAAAACUUAAAACAUUUAUCUUAUUUUAUUUAAAAUAAAAAAUAUUUCCAACAUGUCACACACAUGAGAUCCAUGCUGCCAUAAAUUCAUUUCCAAACUAGUUAUGAACCAUAAAUGACAAGCCCUAACUUCACCUCCACUUGCUAUAACAAGCCCUAACAUGACUUCUACUGCUAAACAUUGAAAAAGGAUGUUGAUGUUGCGUCUAAAGGCAUCUUGCUUUAUUAAAUAUUUAAUUUAUGUACUAUCAUUCUCAUUGACAUUAAAAUUAAUUAUUUCUAAAAAAAAAAAAUCAAAAGAAAAUUUCCCAAACCAUAGAAAAGUAUUUAGCAUUAAACUCGAUAGAGUUACACCACAUAUUUGUAGCUUAGGAUCACAGGGUUCUCAGAAAAACACUUCAAAGUACAUUCUUAGAGUGUAUUUGAUAAUAUUUUUAUUCAAAAUAUUUUUAAUGAAAGUAUAUUCUUUAAAAAUGUUUUAAGAUAAUUGUCUAUCAAAUAUUUCUUCAAAAAACAAUACAAGUGAUUUUUUAACACUAUAAAUAAUUUUUCACAUUUGUAAAAGCGUUUCUCAAAUUUUAUCAAAUACUUAAUAUAAAAUUAAAUGCUUCUUAAAAUCAUUUUCUCACUCUUAUUCAUGACACAAACUAAAAAUAUCAUUGUGGUUUUGUGCAUUGCAGACUAUCAACGAUGUGGUUAUGGGGGCGUCAUUGGCUGGUCUUUCUCAAUAUCUCAACAGAAAGAUAUGGUGAGCUUGCAACUUUAUACCUAAACAACUAGAAUACUUCAUCUAAUGUAAGGUGAGAUUCUUAACAUAUCUCCUUAAUGGCAGGUGAGGCUAAGGGAGAGGCAGUAGCUACACAGAAGAAAAAUAAUCUUCCUGAGAACAUUCGCCUCAGGGCCCUCGAUCUCGUUAAUAUAAGACCUUCCCCAGGGAUUCAUGUGAGCCAUUUUCCUGUUGAAUUCAAAAGAUUUAUAUGAAAAUAUGGUCGUUAAGAUAGUAAAAAUGAUGGUGCAACUAACAUUUUUUGUAUGCAUCAAAUCUGAAUUUUCAAAUUUAUAAAUGAACUUGAGUAAAUUAAUUAUCCAUGUACUGUAAAUUUGAUUGAUUAUAUCGUAUCAUAUCAUCAAAAUGCUAGGCUUUAGCUGAUAUGAUGGAGAAGGGGACCAAAGCAAAAUGGGGUAACUGCAUUGGAUCUGUGCUUUUCCCCUUCACUAUUGUGUUACAAGAUGACCUGUUAGACUAUGUUUGCCAAGCUAAGGCUACCACUGACAGAAAGAAGCAGUCUCAAGAAGUUGCAUACACAUUUCUCAUUGUUAAGUUAGUCCUCAAGUUAUUUGGAAUUAAGGUGCGUAUGAACUUCUUUGCAAUUUUUUGGAACCAAAUACACAAAAAAUUGGACACAUAUAUAUAUGCUAGCAAUUCCCCCUUGGUUGUUUAAUUUCAGUGUUUCUAGUCUAAAUUAAUCAUUCUACUUCAGAAAUCAUUUGGUAAAACAGGCUGCAGCAUUUCUACUCCACAGAGUUCCAAAUCACACCACAUUGUGCUUCUCAAACAUAGUUGGACCUAUAGAAGAAAUCGGUUUUUAUGGUCAGGCUUUCAUUGCUCCAAGUUGCUGUGGGCAAGCAACCCCAUGUAAGUAUAUAUACACAUCUCAUUAAGCCAAAAUAUGCCUUUUGUUUAAUUUCAUUUGGCUAUGAAAACAUUAUAAUUUAUAACAUAGAGUUGAGUUUGGUUAGUCUUAAUAAGCAUAAUAAUUGUGUUUUGGUGUCGGGAUUGAUCGUUCACUUUCUAAGUUACACAAAUAAAAUGACAUUUAUUCUAUCGGUUGAUGAAGCGAUCAUUCCUGACCCUCACCAGCUAUGUGAUGAUAUUGAAGAAACACUCAAGCUCAUGAAGGAUGUUGUUAUAGCAAGAGGGAUUGUUAAGGAAAAUCUCAUUAAAUAAAGAGUGAUUACACACAAAAAAGACUGAUCACCAUAUUACAUUAUGCUUGAAUUAUGUUAAUUGGGAAAAUGUUGUGUACUCAUCUUUGCUUUCAUGUAUACUAAUAAUGUUGAUUGCUACCAAAUAGGGACUAUAAACCUUUGGUUAGUGUAUCUUAUAAAUUUGUUUCUCAAUUGGAUAAGUUGGAAUUUGGAUUAAAUUCGUUAUCGAGCAUCAUCCUAAUUAGCUAGGUUGAUUAGGAUGUGCUUGCAUUUUGUGGUUUUUUGUGGUUGGUUGAUGAUAAUUUGCAUUGUUUUAAAAACAUGACGAGUUGGACCGCCAGCCGGAGGGCUUUCCUAUCCAGUUCCCCUUUUUGGACCAUCUAUCAAUUGGAUUGGUCUUGAACCGAUUAAACCAGCGGUUGGAUCAAUGACCCGGAUGGUUCUUUAAGAACCGAAUGGGUCAAACCCCACCACCUCUUUUUCUUUUUGCCAAGCCCACAUUUCCUUUGGCCUAGUGUCCACUCCUAUGAUGAGUUUUCUUGGCAAAAUGGCCUAUUAAAUUAGGCAAUGAGCUCUAUAGCCUGACCCAACAAUCUACUAAUUUGCAAGGAAUGGAAAGAGGUUUAUAAAUCUAUUUAUGUUUCAUCUACUUUCAAUAUGGAAUCAAGAAAUUUAAGGAAAAACUCAACUCUUUUUAUUGCAACCAGGAGAGCUUGAACCAUAGACCUUGACGUUUCCUAAUACAAUAUUAUUCACUCUACUACAACCAUCCUUAUGUUGAAAUUUAACAAGGAACAAAUAUAUAGGUUAUUUUUAAAAAAUGAUAUAUAUAUAUAAUUACAUAAUACAUUUUUUUUUUCAUUUUCAAUAUGUUUAAUAUCUAAAUAUGAUUUUUACCAUUUUCUUUUCAUAUUGAAAUAUUGUAUAUAUUUUGUUUAAUAAAUUAAAAAUGUUAAUACAUUUAUAUAAAAAUGAAUAAAUAAUAUUACAAAUAUUAUUAAUUUUUAAUUAUAUGUAGUUAAAAUUAUUUUUAAUUUUAAUAAAAUAUAAAUUAUAUAUUUAUGACGUCACCGAUUCGACCGUGGUUCAACCACCGAUCCGACCAGUGAACCGUGAACCAAUAACUUUUCCGGUUCAAUGUUUUGUCCGGUUCUGAAAACAUUUAUAAUUUGUCUCGACUAGCGAUAGGCUGGACUUUUUAUUCAAAUCAACAUUACAUGACUUAACUUUACAUCGACCUCGGAUUAGGAUUGUUUCCUAUAAUCAUCAAUAAAGGAGUAAAACGUUGAAGAAAUAUCAAAGAGUUGAAAAUAUAGUUGAUAAAAUUACCCAUACUAAUUUUGCAUAUGAAUACUAUUCAUUUUUUAAAAGAAAUAUUUAAUGAUAAAAAUUUUCAAAAAAUUAAAAGAAAAAUAUAAUUUUCAAAUAUUGAAAAUCUUUAAAAAAAAAUAUUGUAAUGGUGAUGUGAAUUGAAAUAUAAGGAAAGUUGAAAUUUGAAAUACAGGUUAUACAUGUGACUGAUUGGAAGAAAAGAAAAACUUAAGAGUACGUUAGAUAACUAUUUUCAAGAACAAUUUUUGAUUUUUUAGAAGAAAAAUUAAGGAAACAUGCUUAUUAAUCAGAAACUGUUUUUAUUUUUAAAAAUCAUUUUUUAGUUGUUUCCUAUUAUUUUUACUUUUUUGUCAAGACCGUUUUAAAAAAUAAUUAUGUAAGCAUAUAGAAUGAUUAAAAAUAAAGUAGUAGAUAUAAAAUUAUUUUUAAAAAAUAUUUAAAAAUAGGUUAAAAACAUUUUAAGUUUUCAAAUUGACUUUUAUUUAAUUUAUAAAACAGUAGAGAACAAUUUUUAAAAACUGUUCUUAAAAAAAAAAAUUCAAAACUGUUUUCGAAAACAGUUACCAAACAAAACCUAAAAUUUUGAGUUAGAAUUUUUAUUUUUUUUUUAUACUUGAAUAAAUACUUUCCCCAAAUCAUUUACAAUUUUUGAACUCAAAUUUAAGUCUUAAGAUAGAUAGGAAGAUAUAUUAAAACUAAUGAUUUUUUCAUUACAUGUGGAGAGUAUGUCUAGGUUGAAUAUUAUUCAUCAGCUCAUGAAAUUUCAAUUUUAAAUUAAACUCUCGUCAUUAUUAUGGUUUGGAAAAAUAUUUGAGGUGGUUUCUACCAUCUUAAAGCGUCAAUAAGACGAAAUUUUGAGUAUGUUAUUUAAGCUUCUUCUAAAAUUAGAAAAUCGAGGAGAGAAGGAAGGUGGAAAAUAAAACAGAGAAAAAAAAUACAAAAAUGAAAAAAAGAUUUGAACUUGAUAUGUAUACAUAUAUUUUCUAUAUAGCUUUUUAAAUAAUCUCCUAAUAUAAAAAUUGAAAAUACACAUGAAUUUUUGAAUUAUUUUUUAUAUUUUUUAUUAUUGUUGUAGUAUGUGGCUCAUAUUUAUUGAAAAAAACAUAUGAAGAAAAAUGGGCAAAUGUCAGAGCGAAGCGGAGUGAAAGUCUUCUUCCCUGUUCCCGUGGACGUAGGCAAUUUGUCGAACCACGUUAAAUCUGUGUCUUUCUUCAUUUUCAUUUUCUUUAAUUUUCACCAUAAAUCAUUGCACGUAAAUCAACAAUUGGUAUCAGAGUGUGAGGUUCGAUGUCUGAGAUUUCUUAUGUGAAGUUCGAUGGAUAUGGGAAUUUCGGUCUAUGGCAGAGAAGGGUUAAGGAUCUGUUAGUGCAACAAGGUAUGGUGAAGGCGUUAUACAAAAAGCAACCAAAAAGAAUGAACAACAUGGAUUGGAAGGAUUUGGAAGUGAAGGUUGCGGCAAUUAUCAGGCUUUGUUUGGCUGAUGACAUGAUGUACCAUGUCAUGGAUGAGGAAUCACUAGCAGCAAUUUGGUUGAAAUUGGAAAGUCGGUAUAUGUCUAAGUUGUUGACGAAAAAAGUUGUAUCUUAAGCAGAAACUAUAUGAUCUUAAGAUGGCAGAAGGCUCAUAUCUAAGCCCGACAUAUCAACGUGUUCAAUCAGAUCAUCAGUGAUUUGAAGCGAAUUGAUAUGAAGUUCGAAGACGAAGACAAGGCGUUGAUGUUACUAAAUUAUCUUCCCGCUUCUUCUAUGUAUGAAAAUCUGGUUACAACUCUGAUGUGGAGGAAAGAAACUCUUGAUUUGGAGGAGAUCACGAGUAUUCUUUUAGGAUUCAAUUAAAGGAAGAAAACCAAUGAUGAGAGUUCUCAAGGUGAAAGGCUUGUGGCAAAGAGUAAUUCGAAACAUGGGAGAAACAAGUCCUAGAGCUAAUUGAGUAACAAUAAAUCUUGAUCUAAAUCUAGGAAGAGAAAUGACAUGCAAUGUUAUAAGUGCAGAAAAAUGGGGCACAUGAAACGAGAUUGUCUAGAGAAAAAUAAAGGGAGCUCGAUAUCGGAAAAUAAAGAGGGUUCAUCAAAGUCUACGAAUGUAGUGGCAUAAGAAGACUCAGAGAGUGGUGAUAGUGAUAUGCUAUUGGUUUCAUCCAAUUUAGAUCAUCUUACAGAUUAUUGGAUCUUGGAUUCAGCAUGCUCAUAUCAUAUGACACCCAAUAAAGAUUGGUUUAACACUUACAGGUCAGUAAAUUCUGGUUCUGUUCUGAUGGGUAAUGACGCUUCAUGUAAAGUUGCUGGAAUAGGGAAUAUCAUAAUUAAAAUGUUUGAUGGUGUUGUUAGAACAUUGUGUGAUGUUAGACAUGUAUCUGAUUUAAGUAAGAAUCUUAUUUCCUUAGGGACUUUAGACUGUAACGGGUUUAGUUACAAGUCUACAAAUGGAGUAAUGAAGGUGAGUAAAGGUGCUAUGAGAGUGAUGAAAAGGUAAAAACUAGCAAGAAAUAUUUAUAAACUAUUAGGUACCACAAUUGUAGGUGAAAUUGCAACCACAAAGUUUGAGUCAAACAGUACGGUCUUGUGGCAUAUGCGGUUAGGGCAUAUGGGUGAGCGUGGGAUGAUGGAGCUUCAUAAGAGAAAUCUGUUGAAGGGUAUCAAAAUAUGUAAACUUGAUUUCUACAAGUAUUGUGUUUUUGGGAAACAGAAGAAAGUGUAGUUCAAGACAGCCACACACAAGACAGAGGAGUUUAUUGAUUAAGUUCAUACAGACGUUUGGGGACUAGUAAGGGUAGCAUCAUUGGGAGGAAAUAGGUAUUUUAUGAGUUUUAUUGAAGAUUACUCACGAAAGGUUUGGGUGUACUUCAUGCGGCACAAGUCGAAAACAUUUGCCAAGUUUAAGUUGUGGAAAGCUAAAGUAGAAAACCAGACAGGGAGAAAUAUAAAAUGCCUCAGGUCAGAUAAUGGUACUAAAAAUAUAGAUUGAAAGUUCACGGAAUUGUGUGAGCAACAUGGGAUUAAGAGACAUUUCACAGUACGUAAGACACCACAACAGAAUGGUGUAACAGAAAGGAUGAAUAGAACAAUAGCUAAAAGAGCUCGAUGUCUCAAAUUGAAUGUAGGCCUUGAAAAGAAAUUUUGGGCAGAAGCAGUGAACAUGGCAUGUUACUUGAUCAACAGGUCACCCAGAGCAGCAUUAGAUGGGAAAGAAGCAAAGGAGUUAUGAACAGGCAAUCCGAUAGAUUACUCUAGUUUGAGAGUAUUUGGGAACCCAGCCUAUGUGCACAUUCCUAAUGAGGAGAUAUCAAAGCUUCAUGUGAAGUCUAGACAAUGUAUUUUUCUAGGGUAUUAGAAAGGGGUGAAAGGUUUCAAGCUCUAGGAUCCAAAGGCAAACAAGGUGGUGAUCAGUAGAGAUGUGAUUUUUGAUGAGAAAGGCAUGUUAUAGUGUACUCAGAAAUGAGAGAAACAGGAACCAAAAAAUUGUAGCAAUAAUGAGCAGUUGAUACAUGUGGGAUUAGAGACCCAUGAUAUAGAGGAUCAUGCUCGAAAUACGGGGAAGUCUAGUUCAAAAUAUCAGUAGCAUCACAGUAUAGUCAUAGACAAACACAAACGCACUAUUAGGCCACUUACCAGGUAUGGUUUUGAAGAUUUGGUUUCUUAUGCAUUGAUUACUAGUAGCAGGGAUCCUACUACUUUUCAAGAGGCAAUACACAACCAAGAGAAAAGUAGAUGGAUGGGUGCUAUGGUGGAAGAGAUUCAGUCUUUGCAUAAAAACUAGACAUGGGAUUUGGUGGAGCUUCCCAAGGGAAAGAAAGCAAUAAGAUGUAAACAGGUGUACAAGAAGAAAAAAGCGAUUUCAGAAAAAAAAAAAAAUGGUGAAAAUUUCAAAGCUUGUUUAGUAGCAAAAGGUUACUCACAUAGGAAAGGGGUUGACUAUGAUGAGAUCUUCUCUCCCAUGGUCAAACACACUUCCAUCAGGACAGUGUUGGGUUUAGUAGCCCAUUUUGACAUGCAAUUGGAGCAAAUGGAUGUAAAGAUAGCUUUUCUUCAUGGUGAUUUGGAGGAGUUGGUCUAUAUGGUACAACCAAUAGGGUUUAUUCAACCUGAACAAGAACAGUACUUGGUCUGUAAAUUGAGUAAAUCACUUCAUGGGUUGAAGCAGUCCCGUGCUACAAACGAUUUGACUCCUACAUGAUUAGGAUUGGCUACAAGAGAUGUAAUCGGAGCGCAAUCAUAACUCAUGAGCCAAAAUUUUCCUUUUGUAAUUCAAACGUAACCGGAGCGCAAUUAUUUUCUUUCGUUCCUCACCAGGUACAACGUUUCUGAAAGAGUAUUGAUAUUGAUAUAUCAUGCGAAUCAAAAUCGUCUCAUGGUGUGAAGGCAUGCAGCUGGGCGGCAGACAAUUAAUUAAAUGCAGGUCUAGAAUGAUCUCAACAUUCAACCGACUGAGAAUGAUUGAAGCAUAUUGACUUUGAAUUUGUAAUUGGUGCAGAAACAGUCUGCAUGGCUACCAGCCUGCCACAUGCUCUGUGUGGUUACCCUCCACGCCAUGUGUUUAUCUGUCGAACUUUGUUAAUUGGAUUCAAACCUAUUCCCUCGUCAUCAAAUCAAUCUUUUUGUACGAAAAUAGACUAUUAUUAUACUCGAUGCGCGUGCCAAUAAAAUUUUGACGGGUGACAAUCAAAAGUUAUUUCUAGAUGACGAGGCCUCCAUGGAAGAAGCUCUAACCUUGAAGGGUGAAAACAGUGGUUAUCAAGGGUGAAAGGGCUACCUACCUACAUAAUUAACAAAUGGCUUCUUUUGGUUUUUGGGAGGAAUGAUUUGAUUUUCUUAAUAUUAUCAUUAAGCCUUUUAGGGAUUAUAAGGAUUGACCAGGAUGAUGAUUAAUCAAAAGUUAAGGCAAAUUUUGAAUCUAAGCAUACCAGCUAUUUAUUUUAUUUUGUUUAUAUCAUAGGUAAUCUCACGAACCUAGGUAUAUUCCUUAAACCAAGUGUACGUCUUGUUUGUCUGUGUGUCUUUUUCUGAUUCUACUAUUCUGUUUGUCAAAUUAGAAGAACCUUCAUACAUCAAAACCUACAUCAUUUACGCAUGGCUGAUAGUAAAAAAGAUGAUGUAUCAAGCUAUUUGUAAAAGCUAACUUGAACAAUUUUCCCAAAGAUCCCGGAUGAGAGAACCUUCGAUCGGGAGGAUAAAUGACUCCAAGUAGCAUUCAUGUAUGAUUUAUAUUUGAUCCCAUUGAUGAUACCUAUCAUUCUUCAUCGGCUAUCUUUGUUACUCUUCUCCUUUACUUUGAAAAAAUAGAGUUGCUUACUCAAGUACAAGAUGUCUAUUAGACAAAUAAAUGACCCACCUGCAAAAGUGAAGCUCUAUCAAAUGAACUAUAUCACCUUGAGCCAAAUGAAGCAUGCAUAAAUGAAUCAGAUGAUUAAUAUACAACACAGAAAUAUCACUUGUAGAAACCUUGGUGAAAUUAGUUGAAAUAAUACCAGCCACCCUCCAAUUAAUUUAUAUAGCCUUUUGGACUUCUAUGCCUUUCACACAUCAUUUUAAGGUCAAAUAUUUCAACAUCUGAACUACAUCUCAGACCAUUAAAAAUCUUAUCAAAAUUGAUGUAAAGUCCCACAUGAAAGACGACCAGCGACAACCUCCCUAGCUAUCAAUUCAUUUAAGUAUGUUAUGGACUACAAUACUUGACAUUCCAAUAUAAUUUCAGCCUCAUCUACAUGCUGAGCUGAGUAUCAUGGAGCCUGUAGGUGAUCUGGAUUCAAGACAGCAGGCUCUCAAGCCUAUUCAAACAAAGAGAUCAGCAGGAAGAGAAGUAGAAGGAGAUGGCGAAAAACCCGAGGAUAUCGAAGAAGAAGAAGAAGAACCUCUGAGUCCAGCUGCUCGAAUAUUUCAUGAACCUUGCUUCAAUGUCUAAGUCAUAGCCAUUGCUGGGUGCAAAACCAGAAUCAAUGUUGAUCUUUUUCCAGUAAAGAAGACCUCGAAUCCUGAUCCGGUAAACUCUGGCAGGAUUUGGUGGACAAUUCUAAAUUUUAAAUAGUUUGAUAACAUUCUAAAUUUUCAAAAAAAAACCUUUUAUUCCAAAAAACAAAAACUAAUUUAGAAAACCAUUCCCAAAAAAUAACUUUUUUAGAAUGGGUAUCUAAAAUAUUCCUAACGUUCCACGUAGCAACUAUGUGACAUAAAGUACCAUAAAUUUAGAAAUAUUUUAAGGUACCAUAUUUUAAAAAAAUAUUUUUAAAAAAUAUUUUAAAAAUUUUAUAUAUUUGUUUAUAUUAUAAGAUCCUUGUAUUUAUAUCUCAAAUUACUCAAAAAUAUCCUUGAAUGGUUUCUAUUGAUUUAAAAAGUAGUAGAACAAUUUAUUUCUUCUGACAGUGUCGGUCGCUUUGGGCAUUUUUUACAAUUAAAACAUGGCAUGAAAGUUUGGUACGGUGGUUGAAAUUAUCAUAAAUUUGAAAGGGAUGCCCAAGUUCCGUCCAAAUCUCAAAAACGAUAGUUGGUUCAAUUACUCUCCAUGUGCAAGCCAAAUUCUUUCCUGGCAAAACCCUCAAAUCCAUUUCUUGGAACUAAAAUUUGUACCGUCUCUAUCAUUAAUCCUAAAUUCAAUUUGAAAUUCCAAACUUCAAUAUUAUGAGUUCGAAAUUAAUUUCCAAUGUGGUCUUAUAACUCAUAUGCCACUGGAUUCUAGAUAGGAGCAGAACCAACAAUGGUGGAGACACGCCAUCUUUCCAUUUCCAUUGAUGACUUGAAGGGGGGCCUACCUACCUACAUACCUAUUAAUAAGUGGCUUCGGUUUAUUUAGAUAAUGAACAUAUACCCAAAAAAAGACUUUAUUAAGAGAAGUAUAUAAAAAAGAUAGAACAUUAAACUAUUCGUAAAGACCGAUUUGAUCGACUUUUCUUGAGAUCCUAAAUGAGGAAACCUUAGGAAGGGUAAAAGACUCCAAGUAACAGUCACGUACGAUAUCAGCUUUUCCCCUUUCCUUUGACAGAUAAGAGUUACCUACUCAAUUGCAGGAUGUUUAUUAGACAAAUAAAUGCCCCAGCUACAAAAGUGAAGCUCUAUCAUGUGAGCUAUAUCACCUUGAGCCAAAUGAAGCAUGCAUAAAAAAGAAUUAGAUGCUUCUUUAUAUAUGUUUGUAUAUGUAUAACACAUGAUAAGAUCAUUCAUGCAGCCUGUUGAUUUUCUUACAACAAUUCUUAGUGAAAAAAUUAGAAAAAAACAAAAGAAAACACACAAAUUUAAUGUGAUUUGACAAAUUGUCUAUAUCCACGAGAAUAAAAAGGAAGACUUUUAUUACAUCUAAAAUUAAGAUUAUAUAAAAAGGUAUUUAUAUUAACCAUCAAAUAUUAAAAUUCUAAAAAUACCCUUAAAUCGUACCAUGAAGGGGCGUUGCCUCUCGCACCCCCAACAUAUCGUUCACCCUCAAUAAUAAAAAUAUGAAUUUGAAUGAAAAAUGUCAUCAUUCCACUAUGUUCUACUUCAAUAUUUAACCAUUUUUCUCCAUAUAUAUAUAUAAAAGCCACAUAAUACAACACAGCCUUUUUAAAUGUGUUUCACACAUCAGUUGAAGGUCAAACAUUUCAAUAUCUCAACUAUAUGAUGCGCAAUUAAAAAUCUUAUCAAAAUUGAUGUAAAUCAUGUUACUGGUGUCCCACAUGAAAGACUUAUGUGUCCUAGCGCUCCAACUAGCAACAACCUUCCUGUCAUUUCAUUUAAGUACGUUGGACUACUGCUAUAUAUGUGUUUGCACAAUACUUGACAUUCCGAUAUAGUUUCAGUCUCAUCCAAAAGCUGAGCUGCGUGUCAUGGAGCCAGUAGGUGAUCUGGAUUCAAGACAGCAAGCUCUCAAGCCCAUUCAAACAAAGAGAUUAGCAGCAAGAGAAGUUGAAGGAGAUGGCAAAAAACCCGAGGAUAUCAAAGAAGAAGAAGAAGGAGAAGCUUUGAGUCCAGUUGGUCGAAUUUUUCAUGAAACUUGCUUCAAUGUCUAUGUCAUAGCCAUUGCUGGGUUCAAAAUCAGAAUCAAUGUGGAUGUUGUUAAAGCCAAUUUGGAGCACACUCUGCUUAAGCACCCUCGUUUCUCUAGCUUGCAGGUAUGAAAAAAGCUUUUUGGUACAUUAAUUAAUAUCUUAGCAUGAUAUAUAUCUAAACCAAGCUUCUUUUACGUAAGGCUUUAUUUGAAUGCCUGUCCUAUUUUUUUGUUUUUAAAAGAUAAAAACUCAUCUCCUCUUGGCUUAUCAAUUUAUUUUUUUAUAUUAUCUCGAUUAGGUGAAGGACGUGAAAAAGGAUGGAGGGAUGAAAUGGGUUCCAACAAAGGUGGACUUGGACAAGCACAUUAUAAUACCAAGCCUCCACCACACCAUUUCUUCACCAGACAAGAUGGUGGAAGACUACAUCUCCAAUCUCAGUAAAACCUACAUAGACUACUCUAAGCCUCUUUGGGAGCUCCAUAUUCUCAACAUUAAGACCUCGGAUGCCGAGUCUGUCGCCGUUUUCCGAAUCCACCAUUCCCUGGGUGACGGCAUGUCCCUCAUGUCUCUUGUCCUCUCUUGCUCCCGUCAAAUCUCCAACCCGAAAGCUCUCCCAACUUUGCCAGCGAAAAAGACUUCGAAUCCUGAUCCGGUAAACUCCGGCAGGAUUUGGUGGACAAUUCGACUGGUUUGGAAUACUAUUAUAGAUGUUUUGAUGUUUCUUGCCACAACUCUCUUCUUAAAGGAUACCAUGACACCACUCAGCAAUGGUUGGAAAAAGGGAGGUGGGCAUGUGCCAAGGAGGUUUGUUUACCGAACCGUUAGUCUUGAUGAUAUUAAACUAAUCAAGAAUGGGAUGAAAACAGUAAGUUGAUUCCAAAAACUGGCUCCACCCUUUAAGUUUCCUUGUAUACUUGUGCUUUAAAUAGAAACAUAAUACAACAUUUUCAUUUUUAAAAAUAAGACAAAUUUCAAUUAAAAUAAUAAUAAUGAUUAUUUUAAAAAAUAAUUUAAAAUAAAUAUAAAUUGAUUACCUAAUUUAUGUUUUUUAUCAAAUUUAUUAUUACUUUUUUUUAUAUUUUUAUUUAAAAAUAAAAUAGCCUACACGUGAAAUAUAUAACAAUGUAAACUUAUGGGUUUACAUUAUUUAGACUUAAUAAAUCAUAUUGUUUUGGGGCAUUGCAGACUAUUAACGAUGUUGUAAUGGGAGUGUCAUUGGCUGGUCUUUCUCGAUAUCUCAAUAGAAGAUAUGGUAAGCUUUCAUUAAUUCUCAGUUCAAUUUCUCUACCUACCCAACCAUUGUAUCCAAGCUUACAAGUCACAUUGAAGCUAUGUAUAUAAUAUAAUCAAUUGGGAAAUUUGGAAGAGAGCUAGAUAAAAUAAUCUUUAAACUAUAUGAGUAGAAACUCUUUAACAUGUGUUCCAUUUAUUAAUUGCAGGUGAGACCAAGGAAGAUAAAGGAGCCACCCAAAAGAAAAAUAAUCUUCCGAAGAAUAUUCGCCUGAGGGCAACUCUUAUGAUGAAUAUAAGACCAUCACCAGGGCUUCAUGUGAGUGAUUUUCAUAUUCAAUUUGAAAGAAUAUUUGUAGGAAAAUGUGGCUGCUGUGUGGCCAACUUUAAGAUGUGGCCAACUUUAAGAUAUAAUAGGGAUUUUGUUUUCAACAGCUUUUAACCUCUGUUUUCAAAGUGUAUAGAACAACAACGGUUAAGGUCAUGUUUGGAUGCAUUUCUUACUUUUUAUUUUUAAACAUAAAAAAUAGUAUAUAAAACAUAGGAAUUAUUAACGAAAAAAAAUAGAAAAAAAAAUGAAGGAAAAUAAAAUUUAGAUUCAAAAUCAAUAAUUUAUUUUUAUAUGUUUUUUCAAACUCAUUCUACUUAGUUCUUCUAUCAUAUAAAGAUCAAAUAAUUUUUAAAUGUAUACAUUUUUAACUAAUUUUAAUUAUAUUUAAUUUUCUUUAAAAAAAAUUUAUGGUGAAGUCAAAUAUGAGAAAACUAUUUUUUUUAGCAUUUUUUUUAUUUUUUUAUUACUUCCCGAAAACCAAACAACCAAUAUAUUACUUUGAAAAGUGUAUAAGAGUAUGAAGUUAUGUUUUAAUAGUAACUUUAAUGUUUAAAAAGUUCUCUCAAUAAGAGGAUUAUAAUAUACAUUAAACUCGAUACUCUGAUUAUUAGUGGAUAUAACUAUCAAAAUGCUUUCAAAACACAUUUUCCAUUUAAAUUAAAAUAUUAAUUAAUUUUCUAUAGAAAUAUCUUCAAUAAAUUGUUAGUGAAAAAAAAAUGUUUUAACAACAAUCACCUUAAAAUCCUUCAUGUGCUACAAAACAAAUUGAUUGGUUUAUUCAUCAUGAAAUUUCAUGGUAAUUAGGCUUUAGCGGAGAUGAUGGAGAAGGGGUCUAAAGCGAAAUGGGGAAAUUGGAUUGGAUCUAUGCUCCUCCCUUUUGCCAUUGCCUUAUAUGAUGACCCUUUAGACUAUGUUCGUCAAACUAAAGCCACAAUCGAUCGAAAGAAGCAUUCUCAUGAAGCUAUAUUUACAUGUUUCAUUAUUAAGACAGUUCUCAAAUUAUUUGGUGCUAAGGUAUGAAUUUCCUUAUCCUUAAUAUUGAAAUAGAUCACCUAGGAAAUUAUACAUUUUCAAGCUCCUCUUCUUCCAAAAAAAAUAAUAAUAAUAAAAUCUAACUUCUAUUUUUUGUUUUCUUUCCUUUCUACUUUCUUCUUGUGAUCUUACCUUGGAGAUCUUUUUUUUGGCAUGGCAAAUAGGUUGCAGCAUUUUUAUACCAUAGAGUUAUGAAUCACACGACAAUGUGCUUCUCAAAUGUGGUUGGACCUAUGGAAGAAAUCGGUUUUUAUGGCCAUCCAAUGGCUUUCCUUGCUCCAAGCGUUUACGGCCAACCACAAGUAAGUCUAUAUAUAUAUAUAUGUGUGUGUGUGUGUGUGUGUGUGGUUAUUUGAUUAAAUGGGUCAUUGAAAACUCAAAUAUGAAAAAAUGACCUUUGUGGUUUGAAAGCAUGAACCAUAAUCGAGAAAUUAUAUUUGUAUUCAUCAAUUUUUUAAUUACAUUUAUCAUAUUUAUACAUUCACUUUAAAAUACUAACCGUAUUAAUACAUCACCUACAAAUUUCCAAUAUUAUAAAAACACCCUUCCUAUUCUUCUCUUUUUUACACAUUCACUUUAAAAUACUAACCGUAUUAAUACAUUACCUACAAAUUUCCAAUAUCAUAAAAACACCGUUCCCAUUCUUCUCUUCUAUACCUAUCUUUUUUUUCUUUUUUUUUCUAUUAACUUUUUUUCUUCUCAAUAAUAAAUCCUAAGAGAAACUAUCUUUUAGGGCUUAUUCUUCAUGUAAAUUUUGAUUAAAAAAACAUUUUGUAAAAAUAGUUGAAAAACAAAUAGAAUUUUUUUUAUAAAUAAUUAGAAGUGAGAAAUCAUGAAAAAGUUCAAAAGAAAUAAUAUUAUGACUGACUUUUUAUUAUGUGUUUUGUUGUAGGGAUUGAUGAUUCAUUUCCAAAGUUACAUCAAUAAAAUGACAUUUAUUCUUUCAGUUGAUGAAGAAAUAAUUCCUGAUCCUAAUCGAUUAUGUGAUGAUCUUGAAGAGUCACUCAAGUUUAUCAAGGAUGUUGUUAUUGCAAGAGGUCUUGUCUAGAAAAAUUCCAUAAAAUAAGAAUGAUUAUUACAUGUUACAUCCAUAUAUGAACUAUGAAGAUUUGUGCUUUUAUGGUCAUUUGUGGUUUUAAUCGAGUGUGUUUUAUAAAUCUAAAGUGAAAUGUUUUAUUUUCGAAUAAAUUUUGAGCUUUAUAAUGUUAUAUAUAUGUCACAUGCACGUAUGCUUGGAAAUUUUUAUAUGAGAAUAAGACAUGUGGGUCAUGCCUUGUUUUGGGAAUGGGCCUAACUUGGGCCAGCCUUGGGCUUGAGCCUAAUUAGGUCUUAAGUUGGGCUAAUUAGUACGAUGAAGUCAAAAACUAGCAAAAUUUUGGGCUCCAUGAUAUCUCAAAAUUUAAAAUUGAUUAAAGCCAUUAAUAUCGGGCCACAUCAACGGCUAAAGUUGCAAGGCGACAACCGCCAUCACUUGGCAACUCCCAAGCCCUGUUGCUCUAAUGGCUAGAGAUAUUAAUCCGCCUGAACCCUAGAAAAAACUCAUAGAUAUAUAUAUAGAGAGAAAAUAUAUUAUACUUAAAAACAAAUUUAAAAUAAUGAUUUAUAUACUCAAAAACAGUUUAAUAUAAUGAUUUAUUUAGUUAAAUAUAUUUAAGGAUAUAAAAAAAUCAUGACACAGAUAUGAUUACUUUUUAAUUAUUUAAAAAUAUUUAAAAUAUUAUUUUCCAGUUUAUACUUUUCUUAUAUUUAAUAUUAAAAAUUUUAAUUUAAUUACAAAAUAGAUGAUGUAGUUUGAUAAAUUUAAAAAAAUAAUUAAAAUUUAUUUUUUUAUUAAGUUUAAUAUUUUAGAUUAUAAUAAAUCGAUUUUAUGUGCUUUUAUAAAUAUCAAUCAAGUUUAGCUUGGUAGUGAAGUGGCGUGAUAAAAGUUGUUUUCUCUUUAUUAAAUCCAACCUUUUUCUUUAAUAAUUUUAAAAACUUCAAUGUGUUGUAAAAUAAGGACAAAUAUAAUGCAAAUCAAAGUAGUAGAGAUAAAAUAUGUCUUACAUUGAUAUAUAAUAUGAAAGAAGGAAUCAAAGAAGAGAAUUGAGAAAGUGAAAGAAAGAGAGAGAGAGAAUGAGAAGAAGAACUUUUCUUUUUUUUCUUGGGAUGUCUAUUACAGGAAACGGGAAGCCCUUUUAUAGGUUUUUUAAAUGGCUUCCAUUAAUAUCCUCAUUAAUGAAUAUUAAUGAAACUCAUAAAUAACAUUAAUGGUUUCCAUUAAUGAGUAUUAAUGGAAGUCAUAAAUAAUACUUAAUUAACAUUAAUGUGGUGACAUUCAUUACUACAAUUAUAACACUUCCUCUUGGAUGUUCACCACAUUGAAAGAAUAUGCCUCAUUAAAACCUUGCUAGUAAAAAACCCUAUAGGAAAAACCUAGCGAAGGAAAAAGAGUACAAUAUUCUUUUCUUGGUAUAUUAGGAUUGCCUCAUUAAAAACCUUGUUAGUAAAACCCAGUAGGACAAAACCUGGACGAAGGAAAAAAUAGUACAGUACACUAACACCCUUUUACAAGCAUACUCCCCCUCAUGUCGAUAUCCUUGAGUUGACGCAUUCCAAUUCUGUAUAUUAACUUCUUGAAUGUUGAGGUUGGCAAUGAUUUUGUGAAUAAAUCUGUUAGAUUAUUACUUGAGCGUAUUUGUUGCACAUCAAUUUCACCACUUUUCUGGAGUUCAUGUGUAUAAAAGAAUUUUGGUGAAAUGUGUUUAGUUCUAUCUCCUUUAAUAUAACCCCCUGUUAUUUGUGCAAUGCAUGCAACAUUAUCUUCAAAUAAUAUUGUCGGGUCACCUUUGAUAGAGGAGAGUCCACAUGAUUCCCGAAUAUGCUGGAUCAUAGAUCUUAGCCAUAUACAUUCACGACUUGUUUCAUGAAUUGCCAGUAUUUCUGAAUAAUUUGAUGAUGUGACCACCAUUGUUUGUUUGACAGAUCUCCAUGAAAUAGCAGUACCAUUGCAAUUAAACACAUACCCUGUUUGUGACCUGCCUUUAUGUGGAUCUGAAAGAUAUCCUGCAUCUGCAUAUCCAAGCAAUUGUUGCUUUGAUUCCCUUGAGUAAAAUAAACUCAUAUCAAUAGUUCCACGAAGAUAACGCAAUAUAUGUUUGAUACCAUUCCAAUGUCUUCGAGUUGGAGCGGAACUGUAUCUUGCCAAUAAAUUAACAGAAAAAGCAAUGUCUGGACGUGUACAAUUGGCAAGAUACAUAAGUGCACCAAUAGCACUAAGAUAUGGUACUUCAGGACCAAGUAACUCUUCAUCUUUUUCGCAAUGACGAAAUGGGUCAUUUUUCACAUCAAGUGAUCGGACAACCAUUAGAGAACUUAAAGGAUGCGCUUUGUCCAUAUAAAAACGCUUCAAAACUUUCUUAAUGUAUGUUGAUUGAUGUACUAAAACUCCAUUUGGAAAAUGCUUGAUCUGUAAGCCAAGACAAAAUUUUGUUUUUCCAAGAUCUUUCAUCUCAAAUUCCUUUUUCAAGUAAUUUGUUGUUCUUGUGAGCUCUUCAGGAGUUCCAACAAGAUUUAAGUCAUCAACAUACAUUGCAAUAAUUGUAAAUCCGGUUUCUGAUUUCUUAAUGAAAAUGCAUGGGCAUAUAGGGUUAUUCACAUACCCUUCUUUUAGCAAGUAUUCGCUAAGGCAAUUGUACCACAUGCGUCCAGAUUGCUUUAAUCCAUACAAGGAUCGUUGUAACUUGAUUGAGUACAUGCUACGAGGCUUUGUGUUAUUUGCUUCAGGCAAUUUAAAUCCUUCAGGGAUUUUCAUGUAUAUAUCAUUAUCCAUGGAUCCGUAUAAAUAUGUUGUAAUAACAUCCAUGAGACGCAUAUCUAGUCCUUCUAAGACUGCCAAACUAAUUAAGAAACGAAAUGUGAUUGCGUCCAUGACGGGAGAAUAUGUUUCCUCGUAGUCAAUACCAGGUCUCUACGAGAAACCUUGUGCUACUAAUCGCGCUUUAUAUCUUAUGAUCUCAUUAUUUUCAUUGUGUUUUCGUACAAAUACCCAUUUGUACCCAACAGGCUUUACAUCUUCAAGUGUUUGGACUACAGGUCUAAAAACUUCUCGUUUUAUUAAUGAGUUUAAUUCUGCCUGUAGAACUUCUUUCCAUAUUAGCCAAUCAUUUCUAUGUCGACAUUCUUCCACAUUUCGUGGUUCGGGAUCUUCAUCAUUUCUUAUGAUAUCAGAGGCCACUUGGAAAGCAAAAAUAUUGUUAAUAACAAUAUUAUUUCGAUCCCAUUUUUCUCCCGUUUGUACAUAACCUACUGAGAUCUCACAAUUUUCAGGUACCUGUGCCUCUUCAGGGGCUUCUUGUUCAAUAUGUGCCUCUUCAGGGGCUUUCUGCAUUAUUUGUGCCUCUUCUAGGGCUAUAGAUUUAUCAAUUUUAAGCUUAUCAGUUAUUUUGAUUGUCUCUUCUAGAGUGCCAAGUUUUUCUUGGGUUCUCCUCUUCCAGGGAGUUACAUCAUUUGAGCCGACAGGUCUACCACGCUUUAGGUGUAUCUUAGAUUCAUUUGUUAACUGUCCUAUAGGGACAUCAAUCCGUGCUGGAAUAUUUACAGCCGGGAUAUGUGACUUUGUCAUUUUCUUUGUAUCAAUGAAUGCAUCUGGUAAUUGAUUUGCAAGAUUUUGCAAAUGAAUGAUCCUUUGAACUUCUAGUUCACAUUGAUUUGUACGAGGAUCAAGAUGAGUCAUAGUAAAUGUCUCCCAACUAAUUCUCGUCGUUCUUCAGGAAUCGACUUUUCUCCCCCUAAUGAUAGGAAAACACUUUCAUUAAAAUGACAAUCCACAAAGCGGGCUGUAAAAACAUCGCCUAUCAAAGGUUCAAGAUAUCUUAUGAUAGAUGAAGAAUCAAAACCUACAUAAACCCCAAGUCUUCGUUAGGGACCCAUUUUAGUGCGUUGUGUAGGUGCAAUUGGUACAUAUACUGCACAACCAAAGAUUCGUAAGUGAGAGAUAUUUGGUUGUUUUCCAAGCACAAGUUGUGAAGGGGAGUAUUCAUGGUAAGUUGUAGGUCGAAUACGGACUAAAGCUGCAGCAUGCAUAAUAGCAUGUCCCCAGGCGGAAGUAGGUAAUUUGGUUUUCAUUAGUAAUGGUCGAGCUAUUAAUUGGAGACGUUUGAUGAAGGAUUCUGCUAAACCAUUUUGGGUAUGAGUAUAAGCAACAGGAUGCUCAAUAUUUAUCCCUACUGACAUGCAAUAGUCAAUGAAUGUUUGAGAAGUAAAUUCGCCAGCAUUAUCAAGACGUAUUGUCUUAAUUGGAUAAUCUGGAAAUUGUGCUCGUAAUCUGAUUAUUUGUGCAAGGAGUCUAGCAAAGGCUACAUUACGUGUAGAAAGGAGACAAACAUAUGACCACCUAGUAGAAGCAUCUAUUAAGAUCAUAAAAUAACAGAAUGGUCCACAUGGUGGAUGGAUAGGCCCACAUAUGUCCCCAUGUAUUCUUUCUAAAAAGAUUGGUGACUCAGAUAUGACUUUAGUAAAAGAUGGUCUGAUUAUCAAUUUACCUUGUGAGCAGGCAGCACAUGAGUAUUCAUUGGGCAAAAGAAUCUUCUGGUUCUUUAGUGGAUGCCCAUGUGAGUGUUCGAUUAUUCGACGCAUCAUUGAAGACCCUGGGUGACCUAGCCUGUCAUGCCAAAGGACAAAAACUUUUGGGUCGUUGAACUUCUGGUUCACGACAACAUAUGAUUCAAUAGGCUUUAUAGUUGUAUGAUACAACCCAGAGGAGAAAGCCGGGAGUUUUUCCAUUAUAAGCUUCUGGCCAGAUAUAAUGGAAGUAAUGUAAAGAUAUUCUACAUUAUCUUCAUUCAUAGUUUCAAUAUGAUAUCCAUUUCUGCGGAUAUCUUUAAAACUGAGCAAAUUUCUUCUGGAUUUGCUAGAAUAUAACGCGUCAUUUAUAUGGAAUCUAGUUCCAUUUGGCAACGUUAUGUUUGCUCUUCCAGAACCUUCAACUAAGUUUGUAGUACCAGAUAUGGUACUUACAUUAGCUUUUAUUAAUGUCAAUUCAAGGAAAUAUCUUUUAUCUCGAAGAAUUGUGUGCGUGGUCGCACAGUCUGCGAGACAUACAUCAUCCUCAUUCAUCUUGAGACCAAAUAACACAUGGACUUCAAAUAUAACAAAAAAAACAAGACAUAAUGUAAAUAACAAAGUAAAUCAGAUGUAAAUAUAAGACAUAAUAAUAUAUUAUUUCAUAUAUAAAGUAACAUCAAUCAAUGUUAAUUUUCUCAUCAUUUAUCAAAUGGUCUGUUUUUUCAUUGAGACCUCCAAAGAAAUCAAUGUCAUAGUAGGUUAGGUUCAAUCCAUCACCAUCGGUAAAGUUCAUCUCUAUCUCUUUUCCUUUAGCUUUUAUUGAUGCUUGGUAAAGGUCGACCAAAUGUUUGGGCGUACGACAGGUACGCGACCAAUGCCCCUUCAUACCACAUCUAUAACAAUUAUUCUCAUGGUUCUUAGGAGGUUUAUCUUGUAAACGCUUCCCAUUUUCUUGUAUUGUCUCAGUAUUGUUCCACUUCUGGUGGUGCAAUGAGGCUUUCAUUUUCUGAGAAUUAUUACUAUAAGAACCAUGGUAUCGAGAAUUUCUUCCUCGUCCACGUCCACGAGUUUGGGACGAUAUUGCAUUCACUUCAAGGAAUGGUUCAGAUCCAGUUGGACGAGACUGGUGAUUUCUCAUCAAAAGCUCAUUAUUUUGUUCAGCAACAAGAAUACAUGAUAUUAAUUCAGAAUAUUUUGUAAAUCUACGCUCUCGAUAUUGCUGUUGCAGGAGCACAUUCGAGGCAUGAAACGUAGUAAAAAUUUUCUCUAACAUGUCUUCCUCUGUGAUUUUUUUUCUCCACACAGCUUUAAUUGAGAGCUGAUUUUGAAAAGUACAGAGUUGUAUUCACUAAUAGUUUUAAAAUCUUGCAACCUUAGGUGCAUCCAAUCAUAUCGAGCUUUUGGGAGAAUCACAGUUUUCUGGUGGUCAUAUCUUUCCUUCAAAUUAUUCCAUAGAGUAAAAGGGUCUUUUAUCGUAAGAUACUCAUUUUUUAAACCUUCAUGGAGGUGAUGGCGAAGGAAAAUCAAUGCUUUUACGCGAUCCUGCAGGGAUGCUUGAUUUCCUUGUUUAAUCGUAGCUCCAAGGUUCAUUGCAUCAAGAUGUAAUUCAGCAUCAAGGAUCCAAGAUAGAUAGUUCUUUCCCGAAAUGUCAAGUGCCACAAAUUCGAGUUUUGUGAUAUUCGACAUUAUCAAAUAACUUCAUAUAUAUGACAAACAAUAUUAUUAAAAUCAGUUAUAAUAACUUGAUAGCAUUGAUAUAACUACGAUUAUAAACAAAAUCAAAUAAUUUGUUUAUAACUUUUAACAAUAUGUAACAAAACAAAUUAACAAUAAUAUAAAUAUGUAAAAUUUUAUUCUAUAUAAAUAACUUCAAGUUUAAGAUACGAGAAUUACCUUCAGAGCAAUUCGUGUUGAUAACGUGUUGUAAAAUAAGGACAAAUAUAAUGCAAAUCAUAGUAGAGAUAAAAUAUAUCUUACUUUGAUAUAUAAUAUGAAAGAAGGAAUCAAAGAAGAGAAUUGAGAAAGUGAAAGAAAGAGAGAGAGAGAGAGAGAGAGAAUGAGAAGAAGAACUUUUCUUUCUUUUCUCGGGAUGUCUAUUACCAGAGACAGGAAGCCCUUUUAUAGGCUUUUUAAAUGGCUUCCAUUAAUAUCCUCAUUAAUGAAUAUUAAUAAAACUCAUAAAUAACAUUAAUGGUUUCCAUUAAUGAGUAUUAAUGGAAGUCAUAAAUAAUACUUAAUUAACAUUAAUGUGGUGACAUUCAUUACUACAAUUAUAACACAAUGUUUAUUUUUUAUUUUGUUUCUCUUGCAUUUAUUGCAGGCCAAACUUGUCACAAAAUACUUUGUCAAGUUCCUUUCUAAUCUCUCUCCCCUCUAGCAAUCUCCAAUGGACCCAGUCAUUCUCUCAAGCCUUCAAAAUCGACACAAGGACUAACAAAAUGUGUGGACAAUAACAUCACGAAUCAUGAAUAAUCAAUUGCAUGCCUUCCUGAUAUUAAAUAUUGAAUGUGAUGUUAGAAAAUUCUUAAAAUUACAAAUAAUAAAAUUGAAAAUUCAACAUCAUACCUUUAGCUAUGGUAAUCAAAUUCACAAUUUAUGGGAGUAAAUAAAAAAUAGAAGAAAAUUAGGGAUUCAUUGGAUAGUUCUUCCAAAACCUUAUGUCCAUGCACCAAUGGAAACUUAAUCAUAAACUUCUUAUUGUGAAUAGAGAUUUUUAUCCCUAUGAAGUUUUAACAUAUAAUAUAAUAUUUCUUGAUAUCUUCUUCCCAUAAAAAAAAAAAGAUAAAAUAAAUACUGAUGGGUAGUUACCAUUAAAAGAUGAGUCACAUGGUAGCUAGAUGUGUCUCACAUUUUAGGGAAAAUAAUGUCUCAAUGGAUUUAAUUUUAAAUGGAUCAUAAAAAUUGAAACAUUUAUUUUAUUUUAUUUAAAAUAAAAAAUGUUUCCAACAUGUCAGGCCGAUGCGCACACACGAGAUCCAUACUGUCACAAAUUCAUUUCCAAACUAGUUAUGAACCAUAACCUAAUUCAUUUCCAAACUAGUUAUGAACUAGAACCUAACUUCACCUGGCCUCCAUUUGCUGUGAUAUGUUGUCUUCAUGGUUAAUGUGUCAUCCCUAUGCUAAACAUUGAAAAAAGAUGUUAGGGGCAACUUACUUUAUCAAAUAUUUGAUUUAUGUACUAUCAUUUUGAUAGACAUUAAAAUUAAUUAUUUCUCAAAAAAAAAAAUUCAAUAGAAAAAAUCUCAAACCAAAGAAAAGUACUUAGCAUUAAACUCGAGAGAGUUGCACCACAUAUAUAUUUGUAGCUUAGGACCACGGGGUUCUCACAUCCAUCAAGUUUUCGUGCUUGAUUUGUGUAUUUGGCCGCCAAACAUACAGAAAUUGUAGCUCAAAAUCUACUGGUUUAAUUAAAGUGGCAGAUUUUAAAUUUUUAUUUAUUUCUUUGUGUAUGGACUUUUAAGGUUCAAAAUCAAGUGGGAAAGAGACAGCCCGCACCCUCAACUUUGCAUUGAGUUGGAUCUACUAAUUAAUUGGUAGCCAAUAAUCUUUUUUUUUCUUUCCUUCUGAUCAUACAUAUCCAUUUAGAAUUGAUAUUCAAGAGGAUGUCAAGACUCAGAUUUGUUUUUCUUUUCAGAUUUUCUUGGCUACCAAUCAUCAUAUCAAGAAUUUUACAUGAAAUAAAAAAUAAAAAAUAUCAAUAAUUUACUUUUUUUUAUCUGUAUUUCUAUCCCUUGAAUUGAAAGUGGAGCUAAGAAGAAAGAAAAUAUCCUAAACAACUAAAGUCCUUGAAAUUAAUCUCAAUUUGAUCUUAAAAAAAUAAAUAAGUGGAAGAAAACCAUAAACCUUAUUUCUGCAAGAUUCAAACCCAUCUAUAAUCCACAUAUUUCACCACUCCUAAUGUCCACACUCUUUAAACCACCUCACUUUUUAUACGAAAUGUUUGUUUAUAAAAGAAAAAACUCUAAAAUAAAAAAUAAAUAAUAAUAAUAAUAAAAAACAUGUUAAAAGGAAGAGAAACAUUUAUGUAGAAGAGUGGUUGUUGAUAUGACAAGUGAAAUGGUCAUUUUAAGGAAUAAUUAUAUGACUAGUGCGUGUAUUUAGAAAAAUUGUGGUCCUUUUCUCUAUAUUUUUUCAAAGUAAGAAUUGAAAACCCACUUUCCCUGUUAUUUAUACUUGUGUUUGUGGGUUGUUUUAAAAAUAAUUAUAAAGGUAAGGAGAAUGAUUGAUUAAAAAUAAAGCAUAAAAAAAAUUAUUUUUAAUAAAUAUUUAGAAACAUAAAAAAACAAGUUAAGAAUAUUCUAAACUCUCAAAUGAAGUUUUGUUCUAACAAUUUUUUAGAACAAGUUUCUAAAACAUUGUCAAAUAUAUCUUUAAUUUUCUAUUGAAAUGCCCAUGUUGCAAUUCAACUUGAUGACAUAAAGUAUAAUAAAUUUAGAAAUAUUUUUAAAGUAUCAUAUUUUAAAAAGAAUUUUUAAGAUAUGCUAUAGUCGUUUAUAUUAUAAUUUAUAUCUCAAAUUACUCAUAUUCAUGAAUGGUUUUUAUAUAGUUAUUUAAAAAGCAGUAUAACUUUAUUUCUUCUAACAAGGUGUAUUGCUAAUAUUGUAAUUAUAUACUUGAACAUAUUACUAUCUAAUAAAAUUUUAAAGGAUAUAACAUAUAAGGACUUGAAAGAAUAUUCUUGAAAAUUUAGCAUGUAUCUAAUUUUCAUGCCUAUCUAACCAAGAAUUUGAAAUGAAAAUGAAAUUCACUUUACAACUUUGAAUCAAAUCAUCCUCAAAUAAGAAAAGUUCCAUCACUAAUCUUUUGUGGAAAAACCUUCAAAUCCUUUCUUCUUUUUCUUCUUUUUAAUAAUUUAUAUGGUCUCUAUCAUUAAUCCUAAAUUCAAUUUGAAAUUCGAUUCUAGAAAUAAAUAGUAUGACUUCUUGUUCUAAACCCAGGUUGAUCCUAUAAAUAGGAGCACAACCAACAAUGGUGGAGGCACGCCAUCUUUCCAUUUCUAUUCGUCUGUUGUUUUUUCAUUCUGAAAGCAGCUAGCACCCUGGAAACCCAAUCAGGUUUGAAGGACGCACUUAAGCCUAUUAGAACUGCGCCCAAAGAAGGUGAUGAAAAGGGAAUGGUAGUUAAGCGUCAUGAUCAGGAAGAUCAUCAGCCAUUGAGUCCAAUGGCUCGUUUGUUUCAUGAACCUGACUGCGAUCUCUAUGUUAUCGGCAUGAUCGGCACGAAAACUCGCAUCGACCCUGAUGUGUUUAAAGCCAACCUGGUGCAUAGUCUCCUUAAACACCCUCGUUUCUCUAGUCUGCAUGUAGAAAUCUUGCAUGCCAGAAGGAAUGAACUUGCCAUUUAGUAAUUUAAAGCUACAUUGAACAUUUUUGAACUAAAAUGCAGCGGUAUUUCAAAAUCAGGUUAUGGAGGAGGAAAAGGGAGGAGAGACGAAAUGGGUUCCAACAAAAGUUGAUUUGGAAAACCACGUUAUAGUUCCAGACAUGUGUUCCGACAUGGAAACAUCAUCAGACAAGUACGUGGAAGACUACAUUUGCAACCUCACUAAAACAACCCUAGACUUUUCCAAGCCAUUAUGGGACCUUCAUCUCCUCAACGUGAAAACCUCCGACGCCGAGGCCGUCGCCGUUUUCAGGAUUCAUCACUCCCUCGGCGAUGGCACGUCUCUCAUGUCUCUUUUACUUGCCUGCACACGCAGAGCCUCAGAUCCCAUGGCUCUGCCUUCUGUUCCCAUGAUGAAGAAAUCAAAAUCAUCGGCUGGGUCUGGAAGGUGGUGGAAGGCUUUCAGACAGUACAGUCCCUGAUCCUCACCAGCUGUUUGAUGACCUUGAAGAGUCUUUCAACCUCAUCAAGAAUGCUGUGAUGGCUAGAGACUAAACUCCACAGAAUGUCAUGUAGCAAGGGCUAGGGUCAAUGUAAUUAAUAUAUAUAAUGUUCUGAAAUAAUUGUCUUAAGGUUCCUGCAAUAAUGAUGUUGUAUUAGAUGGCUCUCUACUAAGUAAAAAUGCCUCUCUACUGUAUUUUUAUCUUAAUUCAAGUUCAUAUUUUUUGGACUUUAUUUCAUUUUUAUUUACUGUAUUUUGAUGACUAAUUAUGGGUUCUUUCUAAUUUCAUCUUUUAAUUUUUUAUUCUCCUUUUUUUUUUUUUUUGAUUCCUCAGAUCUUUUGCAGUAUCUUAAUUUUAAGGCUUAAAUUCUACUUCAUUUCAUUAAUUUCUUCCAUAAUUUUUAAUUUUUAUUAUUAUUAAAUAAUUGUAAUAGCAUUAAUAUGAAGUUCUGGGCUGGCUUACAUAAGAACCCAUCUCCUAGUUUAUAUUGAUCCCUACCAUUUUAUUAAUGGAUAUAACUAUCAAAAUGCUUUCAAAACACAUUUGCCAUUUAAAUUAAAAUAUUAAUUAACUUUCUAUAGAAAUAUCUUCAAUAGAGUGUUAGUGACAAAAUGGUAUAAAAAAAAAAAAAAAAAGAAUGUUUUAACAACAAUCACCUUAAAAUCCUUCAUGUGCUACAAAACAAAUUGAUUGGUUUAAUAUUCAUCAUGAAAUUUCAUGUUAAUUAAGCUUUAGCUGAGAUGAUGGAGAAGGGGUCUAAAGUGAAAGGGGGAAAUUGGAUUGGAUCUAUGCUCCUCCUUUUUGCCAUUGUCUUAUACGAUGACCCUUUAAAUUAUAUUCGUCAAACUAAAGCCACAAUCGAUCGAAAGAAGCGUUACCAUGAAGCUAUAUUUACAUUUUUCAUUAUUAAGAUGGUUCUCAAAUUAUUUGGUGCUAAGGUAUGAAAUUCCUUAUCCAUAAUAUUGAAGAUCACCUAGGAAAUUAUUGAUUUUCAAACUCAUGUUCUUAAAUAAUAAUAAUAAUAAUAAUAAUAAAAUCUAAUAUCUAUUUUUUGUUUCUUUCCUUUCUAUUUUCUUCUUGUGAUCUUACCUAGGAUUUUUUAUUUUUUAUUUUUGCAUGGCAAAUAAGUUGCAGCAUUUUUAUACCAUAGAGUUAUAAAUCACACAACAAUGUGCUUCUCAAAUGUAGUUGGACCUAUGGAAUAAAUCGGUUUUUAUGGCCAUCCAAUGGCUUUCCUUGCUCCAAGCGUUUACGGCUAACCUCAUGUAAGUCUAUAUAUAUAUAGUUAUUUGAUUAAAUGGGUUAUUGAAAACUCAAAUUUGGACAAAUGACCUUCAUGGUUUGAAAGUAUGAACUAUGAUCGAGAAAUUAUAUUUGUAUUCAUCAAAUUUUUCUUUACAUUUAUCAUAUUUACACAUUCACUUUAAAAUACUAACUAUAUUAACACAUCACCUACAAAUUUCCAAUAUCAUAAAAACACUCUUCGCAUUCUUCUCUUCUAUACCUAUCUUCUUUUUUUUCUCUAUUAACUUUUUUCUUCUCAAUAAUAAAUCCUAAAAGAAACUAUCUUUUAGGGCUUAUUCUUCAUGUAAAUUUUGACUAAAAAAAUUUGUUCUAGAAACAAUUAGAAAAAAUUUAUAAAAAAUUAGAAAUGAGAAAUCAUGAAAAAGUGCAAAAGAAAUUAUAUUUGGACUGAUUUUUUACUCUGUGUUUUGUGGUAGGGAUUGAUGAUUGAUUUUCAAAGUUAUAUCAAUAAAAUGAUAUUUGUUCUUUCGGUUGAUGAAGAAAUAAUUCCCGAUCCUCACCAAUUAUGUGAUGAUCUUGAAGAGUCACUCAAGUUUAUGUUGACAUUGCAAGAGGGUUUGUCCAUAAAAAUUCCAUAAAAUAAGAAUGAUUAGUACAUGUUACAUCUGUGUGAACUAUGAAGAUCUGUGUGCUCUUAUGGUCAUUUGCAGUUUUAAUAGUAUGUGUUUUAUAAAUCUAAAGUGAAAUGUUUUAUUUUUGAAUAAAUUUUGAACUUUCUAAUGUUAUAUAUAUGUCACAUGCAUGUAUGCUUUGAAAUUUUUAUAUGAGAAUAAGACAUGUGGGUCAUGCCUUGUUCUGGGAAUGGGCCUAACUUGGGCCAGGCUUGGGCUUGAGCCUAACUGGGUCUUAAGUUGGGUUAAUUAGAACGAUGAAGUCAAAGAAUUGCAAAAUUUUGGGUUCCAUGAUAUCUCAAAAUUUCAAGAUAGUUUUUUCCUGAUUCUUACAAAAUUGGGUACAUAUCUACAUAGGUUGUUAGAGAUACUGUGAGGGAUUUGCACCACCUCAAACAAUAUUCUAACUAAAAAUGUCUCGUUCGGAUACACUUUUUCAUUUUUCUUUUUUAGAAACAAAAAGUUUUAAUAAUUUCUAUAUGAAAAUAGAAGUUCUUAUAUAAAAAAGGUAUAUGUUUACCCUGUGUCCUUAUAAUUUAUUUUAAAUAUUUUAAAAUUUUAGAUGAUAAUUUAAAAAAAAAAAAUAGUUUUUAAUUAGUUUUUAAAAGUCAUUGUUUUUUGGUGUAAGUCUCUAAGAUUUUUUAUAUUUAAAAGAAAUAAUAAAUGAUAAAAAUUAUGGUAUAUAUAUAGAGACAGAGAAGAGAAAAUAUAUUAUGCUUAACAUCCCAUUUAAAAUAAUGAUUUAUAUACUCAAAAACAGUUUAAUAUAAUGAUUUAUUUAGCUAAAUAUAUUUAAGAAUAUAAAAAAAUCAUGAUACAGAUAUGAGUACUUUUUAAUUAUUUAAAAAUUUUAUUUACAAGUUUAUACUUUUCUUAUAUUUAAUAUUAAAAUGUUAAUUUAAUUACAAAAAUGAUUAUGUAGUUUGAUAAAUUUAAAAAAAUAAUAAUAAUUUUUUUAUUAGUUUUAAUAUUUUAGAUUAUAAUAAAUUAAUUUUAUGUGCUUUUAUAAAUAUCAAUCAAGUUUAGCUUGGUGGUGAAGUGGCAUGAUAAAAGUUGUUUUCCUUUAUUUUUCAAAUUAUAAAGAAUAAAAUAAUAUAUACAUAUAUAUAUAUAUAUAUAAAUCACCCAACUUUAAAAUUUGAAAUUUCAUUAAAUCCAACCUUUUUCUUUAAUAAUUUUUUAAAACUUCCAUAUUUACCAUUCAUUUUCUUUCUCUUGCAUUUAUUGCGGACCAAACUUGUCAUAAAAUAAGUCAAAUUCGUUUUUGAUCUCUCUAUCCUCUAGCAAUCUCAAAUGGACCCAAGAUUGAGGUCAUUCUAUCAAGGCUUAAAAAUCAACACAAGGACCGACAAAAUGUGUGGACAUUAACAUCGGAAUCAUAAAUAAUCAACUACCUACCUUUCUUAUAUUAAAUAUUGAAUGUCAUAUUAGAAAAUUCUUAAAAUUGAAAAAAUAAAAGUAAAAAUUCAACAUCAUACCUCAGGCUAUGGCCAUCAAAUUCACAAUUUUUGAGAGUAAAUAAAAAACAGAAUAAAAUUAGGGUUUUAUUUGGCUAGUUCUUCUAAGAUCUUAUAUCUGAUGAAAACUUACAAACUUCUUAUAAACUAGAGACUCUUGUCUAUAUAAAGUUUAAUAUAAAUAUGAUAUUUUCUUAUAUUUUCUUUCCAUCAAAGUAAACAAAAUAAAUACCGAGUAAUAGUUACCACUAAAAGUGUGUCAUGACUAUAAAUGAUGGUUACAACACUAAGAGAUGUGUUUGUAUUUAGUGUCACAUAUUUUAAAGAAAAUAAUGUAUUUAAAUUUAAAUUUAAAUAGAACACAAAACUUAAAACAUUUAUUUAUUUUAUUUAAAAUAAAAAAUGUUUCCAACAUGUCACGCACAUGGGAUCCAUGUUGCCAUAAAUUCAUUUCCAAACUAGUUAUGAACCAUGAAUGACAAGUCCUAACUUCACUUCCACCUCCACUUGCUAUGAUACGUUGUCUUCAUGGUAAACAUGAUGACUUCGACGACUAAACAUUGAAAAAGGAUGUUUGUAGGGACCCCUCCCUCUGGGAAACACGUGUCACGCAUCUCAUAGUGACACGUGUUAUCAGCCGGACCAUCAUCAUCCGGAUUCCCCCUAAGGAUACGCAUGAUGCAGUUCUCCUAUCCGGACCGCCUCGAGGAAAGGCAAAUGACGUUUCAGCUUCUCCUAUCCAAGGAAGAGCAAACGUCGCUGGCAGAGCACAGACAUCCGGACAACCUUCAUAAUGCAUCCGCUCCACAAUACAUCCGGGUAAUCAGCAUGUGCCAUCCAGAUAUAAUCGUCCGGAUCAUCAAUUAAAGUAAAGCGAGUCUUACACGCUAUCACAACAAACGGCCAUGGCCCACAUCCUGCCACCUUCAGAGUGAGAAGACAAGAUGAAAUGACAGCAAGUCACCUCCCGCGAUCUCUGACAGCCGCAUCACCUACCAUGGUUUCUGACAGCCGCUCGUAGGGUGAUGAUGCUCCUACUAACGCCUAUUGUCAUCAUAAACAACAUAAAAUAUCUCCUCACCAUUAAUGAGAGGAACAGUACCCCUGAAGCUGUAUAUAUAUGCCUUCACACGAAGAAGGAAGGGAUCCCACUGGUAACCUCCUAAUACCUGGUAAAAGGCCAACUGAUUUAUAUCUCUCUCUCUGACCAUGGCUAACAAAACCAUCGGAGGGUGCGUCCGGACACCUUGUCCGGAUGCCUUCUUGCAGGUAUAACGACUGGAUCAAGAACCUUUAUGGGUUGAAAUCACGUGUCCAUCCAUUUGGCAACUACGUGGAUCGUCAGAGACGCGAGGUAUCAACAUUGGCACCGUCUGUGGGAACUUUUUACUUUGAUUCAGUCACUAAAAAAGAUGGUCACACCGUCCCGAAGCCAUUCAUCUGGUAGGGGAGGGGAUGAUAAUUUUGAAUGGCGCCUAGCCAUCGAAAGGAGACAGUUGGCAAGCGAAAGACAGCUGAAAGCUCUCCUCCAGGAGACAGAAAGAUUGAGAGAAGAAAACGCUGUGUUACGCAUCCAGGCUUCAACAUCAGGACCUCCUCGACGUCAGCGUUCGAGGGGCCAAGUAGCAGACUCAAGUCCUCAACAAGAACCAGAAUCAAUACAUCCUGGGACAACAGGAGCUAUCCCAGGAGCAUGCAACGUAAGACCUCAUGAGCCACGCACGCCUAUGCCUCGAGCUCCCCGUGAGGAAAGCUCAGACUCUACUCACUUUUCAGCGAAAAGACAACGUGAUAAAAAAUCUCAGUUGUCGAACUCAAUGCGCGCAAGACUAGGCCCACAAGAGCCUGGAAGAUCAAGGCCACCAAUGGCCAUAACCUGGGCACCACGCCCUGACCCUGUGACCACUCCCAUGGUGCAAAACGUUCACCCGCAUCGUGACCCCUUAGUCACCCCCGUGAUGCGGAAUGUUCAUUCGCACCCAGCGGAACAACCAACUGGGAGAAACAUCCCAAAUGGGCCACCCAUUGGCUCUAUUAGCAAAAGGUUGGAUGACAUGCUCUCCACGCCUUUCUGCUCUCAUAUCAUUAAUUACGAGCCCCCAAGGGGAUUCCUCGUACCAAAUUUUUCCACAUACGAUGGAACCAACGAUCCCUUUGAUCACAUCAUGCAUUAUCGACAGCUUAUGACGCUCGAUAUUGGCAACGAUGCACUGCUAUGCAAAGUAUUUCCCGCCAGCUUACAAGGACAGGCCCUCUCAUGGUUUCAUCGCCUACCUCCCAACUCCGUUGGCGAUUUCAGGGACCUGUCCGAAGCUUUCGUGGGGCAAUACUUGUGCUCCGCACGACACAAGCAAAAUAUCAGCACCCUGCAGAAUAUAAAAAUGCAAGAUAACGAAUCCUUGAGGGAAUUCAUGAAGCGAUUUGGCCCGGCCGUGCUUCAAGUAGAGGCUUGUAGUAUGGAUGCUGUCCUACAGAUUUUCAAGCGAAGCAUCUGUCCGGGCACUCCAUUUUUCGAAUCACUGGCCAAAAAACCCCCUACAACGAUGGAUGACUUAUUCAGGCGCGCCAACAAAUAUUCAAUGCUCGAAGAUGACGUACGCGCAGCCACCCAGCAAGUUUUGGUUGCCGGACGGCCAUCUAGAAAUAAUACGGAGGGAAAUAAUAAACCUCCGGAUCGGCCAAAGCCGUCUGACCGAAAGCAGGAAGGGUCAAGUCGCCCGGAAAUGCCGCCUCUCACACCUCUUUCCAUAUCAUAUGAGAAACUUCUCCCAAAGAUCCAGGGCUUGUCCGACUUCAGAUGGCCUAGACCCAUUGCAACGGACCCAUCCACAAGAGAUCGCAGUAAGAGAUGUGCCUUCCACAAGGAUCAUGGCCAUACAACAGAGACAUGUCGAUCUUUCCAGUUUCUGGUCGAAAGGCUCAUAAAAGCAGGGCAUUUGAAGCAAUACCUCCGAUCAGAUAAUGGAGGAAGGGACGCAUCCCAACAUCACAACCCCGGAGCCCCUAGGGCCCCAGCUGCCCCCAAGGCCGUUAUAAAUUAUAUUAACGGGGGUCCAUCUGACGAGGAGUACGAUUCUAGGCGAAAGAGGCAAAAAUUGUUGUGGGCCGCAUCAAUACGCGAGCGCAUCAAUUCCAUCCGGCCUGGGCUAACGGGAGGGGGCCCUCGCCCCAUAGAUGGGACAAUCAUUUUCCCACCGGUAGAUCCCACCCGGACACUGCAACCACAUCGCGACGCCCUCAUCUUGUCCCUGGAAAUUGGGGACUUCGAUGUGCGGCGUAUCUUGGUUGACCCAGGCAGUUCAGCCGAUCUUGUGCAAGCAUCAGUCGUUGGCCACAUGGGACACAGCCUCACAGGCCUCGAAAACCCUGGACGAAUCCUAUCCGGAUUCAACGGGUCUUCAACUACGUCCUUAGGAGACAUUGUACUGGCGGUCCAAGCAGGCCCAGUCACUCUCAACGUACAGUUUUCAGUAGUACAGGAGUUAUCACCCUUCAAUGUCAUUUUGGGGCGCACAUGGCUCCACUACAUGAAAGCUAUCCCCUCUACAUAUCAUCAAAUGGUGAGUUUUCUCACCAACCAUGGCCAAAUCGACCUAUAUGGCAGCCAAUUAGCCGCUCGCCAAUGCUAUCAGAUAGCGCGGGAAGCAGGGGUCAACCAGGAGGAUGCGUCUCCCCCUGAACCCAGCAUUGCACAUGACCAAUAGCAAUUAUUGGAUCCGGCGGACAAAGAUCCCCCGGCAGCAGAUCCCUUACAAACAAUCCAAAUUUCGGAGGAAAACACUCACCUCACGAACAUCAGUUCCCUCAUGACACAAGAGGAAACUCAGAGCAUGCAAAGUAUUCUCAGACGAAACCAUGACAUCUUCGCAUGGACACAUUCUGAUAUGAAGGGAAUCCAUCCCUCUAUUGCAUCUCACAGGCUUAACGUCUUUUCAACUGCCAGACCCGUCCGGCAGAAAAUUAGGCGUUUUCACCCAGAUAGACAAAAAGUCAUCCGGGAUGAGAUGGACAAAUUGCUCGAAGCCGGAUUCAUCAGAGAAGUUUCUUAUCCGGAGUGGUUGGAAAAUGUAGUGGUGGUACCCAAAAAAGAAGGAAAGUGGCGAGUUUGUGUAGACUAUACCAAUCUCAACAAUGCAUGUCCAAAAGACAGUUUUCCUUUGCCUCGAAUAGAUCAGAUUGUGGAUUCCACUUCCGAGCAAUGGAUGCUCUCUUUCUUGGAUGCCUUCUCCGGAUAUCAUCAAAUCCCCAUGUCCCCGGACGACGAAGAAAAAACAGCAUUCAUAACACCACACGGCCUCUAUUGCUACAAAGUCAUGCCGUUCGGACUCAAAAAUGCUGGUGCCACUUAUCAAAGAUUGAUGACUAAGAUCUUCGAACCUCUAAUAGGCCACACGGUAGAGAUAUAUAUUGAUGAUAUCGUGGUUAAAAGCAAAACCCGAAAGCAGCAUGUCCUUCACUUACAAGAAGUUUUUCACCUCUUACGAAAGUAUGGCAUGAAGCUAAAUCCUUCUAAAUGCACCUUUGGCGUAAGUGCUGGCAAAUUUCUGGGAUUUAUGGUCAGCCAAAGGGGCAUAGAAGUCAGCCCAGAUCAAGUCAAAGCAGUCAUGGAAACACCCCCUCCCAGGAACAAGAAGGAGCUACAACGCCUCACAGGCAAGCUCGUCGCACUAGGGCGUUUUAUAGCCCGCUUCACUGACGAACUGCGACCCUUCUUCUUGGCAAUACGAAAAGCUGGAGCACAUGGAUGGACGGACAGUUGCCAGAACGCUUUCGAAAAGAUUAAGUAUUGUCUUACGCAACCGCCCAUCUUGAGCAGCCCCGUUCCAAAUGAGAAAUUGUAUAUGUAUCUGGCGGUAUCAGAAUGGGCAAUCAGCGCCGUUCUAUUUCGCUGCCCCUCACCCAAGGAGCAGAAGCCUAUCUACUACGUCAGCAGGGCGUUAGUAGACGUAGAAAUCAGAUAUUCAAAAAUGGAGCUAACAGCCUUAGCCCUUCGAAGCGCUGCCCAGAAGCUCCGCCCGUAUUUCCAAGCUCAUCCAGUGAUCGUACUAACUGACCAGCCCCUUCGCAACAUUCUGCACAAGCCAGAUUUAACCGGGAGAAUGCUGCAAUGGGCCAUUGAACUAAGCGAAUUUGGAAUCGAAUUCCAACCCAGAUUGGCCAUGAAAGGCCAAGUAAUGGCUGACUUCGUGCUAGAAUAUUCCUGAAGGCUCAGCCAACAUGACGAAUCAAGUAAAAAAGAAUGGUGGACUCUGCGAGUUGACGGAGCCUCACGCUCAUCAGGCUCUGGAGUUGGGCUCUUACUACAGUCCCCAACUGGGGAACAUUUGGAGCAAGUCAUCCGGCUGGGAUUCCCUGCCUCUAAUAAUGAAGCAGAAUAUGAGGCUAUCCUGUCCGGAUUGGACCUCGCCCUUGCUCUAUCCAUCUCCAAACUCCGGAUCUUCAGCGACUCACAACUCGUGGUAAAACAUGUCCAGGAGGAAUAUGAGGCUAAGGACGCACGCAUGGCGCGAUACUUAGCUAAAGUAAGAAACACCUUGCAGCAAUUCACCGAAUGGACAAUCGAAAAAAUCAAGCGAGCUGACAAUAGGCGCGCUGACGCUUUGGCCGGUAUAGCUGCCUCCCUCCCUAUCAAAGAAGCCAUUCUAUUGCCCAUACAUGUGCAACCCAACCCCUCUGUUGCAGAAAUUUCUACUUGCAACACCAUUGAGGCAAAUCAAGCGGAUGAUCAAGAAUGGACGUAUCACAUCGCAGAAUAUCUCCGGACAGGCACUCUGCCCGGAGAUCCCAAACAAGCACACAAAAUCCGGGUACAAGCUGCCCGUUUCACCCUGAUUGGGGGGCACCUGUACAAGCGAUCCUUCAUAGGACCUUACCUUCGGUGCCUAGGGCAUUCAGAGGCCCAGUAUGUGGUAGCUGAGUUACAUGAGGGAAUAUGCGGAAAUCAUUCGGGAGGACGAUCUCUGGCACAUAGAGCUCAUUCGCAAGGAUACUAUUGGCCAACAAUGAAGAAAGACGCGGCAGCAUAUGUUAAAAAAUGUGAUAAAUGUCAACGGUAUGCUCUCAUUCCACAUACGCCAUCAGCAACAUUGAAAACAGUCUCAGGCCCAUGGCCCUUUGCGCAGUGGGGCAUGGACAUAGUGGGACCCCUCCCAGCAGCACCUGCCCAGAAGAAAUUUCUCCUUGUUGCCACUGAUUACUUUAGUAAAUGGGUAGAAGCUGAAGCAUAUGCAGGCAUCAAAGACAAAGAUGUCACCAAGUUCGUGUGGAAGAACAUUGUUUGCCGUUUUGGAAUCCCCCAAACCAUCAUAGCUGACAAUGGUCCACAAUUUGACAGUAUUGCAUUCAAGAAUUUCUGUUCGGAGCUGAACAUCCGGAAUUCAUACUCCACACCACGAUAUCCUCAAAGUAAUGGGCAAGUAGAAGCCACAAACAAGACCCUAAUCAAUGCCCUAAAGAAAAGGCUUGAGCAAGCUAAAGGGAAGUGGGUGGAGGAGCUACCCGGCGUCCUAUGGGCCUAUCGAACCACACCCGGACGACCAACAGGAAACACUCCUUUCGCCCUCACGUAUGGAAUGGAUGCAGUCAUUCCUACAGAAAUAGGUCUUCCUACUAUCCGGACUGACGCAGCAAAGCAAGAUGAUGCAAGCGCGGAAUUAGGGAGAAAUUUAGAUUGGGCAGAUGAAGUGAGGGAAAACGCGGCCAUUCGGAUGGCAGAUUAUCAACAAAGGGCAUCAGCACAUUACAAUCGCAAAGUGAGGCCAAGAAGCUUCAAAAAUGGUACACUAGUCCUUAGAAAAGUUUUUGAAAAUACUACUGAAGUGGGUGCAGGGAAAUUCCAAGCCAACUGGGAAGGACCCUAUAUAGUGUCUAAGGCAAAUGACAAUGGAGCCUGUCAUUUACAAAAAUUGGACGGAACUCCAUUACUUAGACCUUGGAAUGUGUCUAAUUUAAAGCAGUACUAUCAAUGAAAAAGCAGAGACAAGUGCAAAUGAAAAAGAACUAUUUUUAUUGAUAUGGAUAAAUGUAUGAACAAAGAGGUCUCCGGACCACAAAAAUACAAAAGGAAGAUUACAGCAGAAAAUUGCAAAAAGAGAUAAACUAUCAUGGAGCAGGCUUCUCAUAGAGCUUCUUUUCUUCACCCGGAGGAAUUGAAGGGACGUCCCGCUUGAUGUCGUUCUUCUUCAUGCAGCACCGAUACCCAAAGAUGAAUGUAUCAUCCACUUGUUUUUGGUAUUCUGCUUCAAGUUCCUCCCUCUCUACAGCAAACUCCCGUUCUAGCUCCUCUUUUUGUGCAACCAAGCGCAGCUGCAAAUCUUCCCUCUGUUUCUUUUCGAUAGAAACCUCUGUCCGGAGGUGCCUCACCUCCCCCUUCAGUCGGGCUAUCUCAUCCUCUGCCUCAUGCAAACGGGCAAUCAAUGAUUCCUCCCGGUCCUUAGCCUCAGCUAAUUCCACCCGAAGGACUUCAUUGUCCUCUCGAGCAGUGGAUAAGCUGGUUUCAGCCUCCGCCAGUCUCAGGCGCAACUGAUCUUCAACAUCUUUGCGCCGAGAGGCGAAGAUCUUCAUAUAAUCAGUGGUCCGCAGCAGGUCAGAAAAGAGAUCGUGUUGUUUGGCCAUGCCGCGGAGACCACUCACCAGCUGACACGUAAGCAAAGCAAAGUUAUAAAUCAUACCACAACAACACAUCAAAAUAGCAAAAGAAUCAAAAAAGCACGAAAAACAGUUUACCGUUUCCACCGUCUCGAACAUCUGGGCUGAGGGCAUGAUGUCAGGCGAGCCGGGUGGAAUUUGUUUCAGCUUAUCUUCCAACUCCGCAUAGCUAAAAGAGCUAUCGGAGGAGCAAGAUGCGUCAUUAACAGGUCCCCCCCCGGAUGAAGCAGCAGAAGGUGAUUUUUGUUCCGGAUAAGGGGCCUCAACAUUUACGGCCGGAUGGACCUCCCCGGGUGCAACCUCAGCCGGGACCACCAUCCAGACGACUGGAGUCUCAAUUACCAUCUCCACUUCGCCCCCCUCCAGAUGAGCGUCGUGGACAGAUGAGCAACUAACUUCAAUCUCUUGCUGCCGCUCUUGAAGCCGCCCGUGGAGUCCGGACCUCAGAUUGCGCACCGAGCGAGGCCUCUUUGAGGGUGGCCCCGUCACCAGAACAAGAGCCAGGCGGUCCGGAUCGUCAGAGGGCUGACUCUGACUUUCCGCCCCAGCUUCCUCCAUCGGGUCCGCGCAAACGGCUUCAACUGCAUCAACACCCGAAGUAGGGGAGUCCGGAUGGUUGAUGGACGCAGCUUCCUCAGCCAAAUUUGCCGGACGGGCAACCGCUGCCAAAGAGGUGCUUGAGUGAUUCAGCCCCGCGAUGUGUCCGGACCCGCUUGAGAUAGAAUGAGGAGCGGGGUUCACUGGCUCCUCUAUCAUUACCUCCGCCUCGUGAGUAAUGAGCGGAUGAGCAAAUUCCAUGGGAGGAGUGGGCUCCCUCACUCCCUUCCCAUUCUUCACCAGCUUCCUCCUUUUUGCUGGAGUUUUCUUUGGAGGAGAGUCUGCGUCGCGUUUCUGUCCGGGAGCCUUGCGAAGGGUUCCUUCGUUUUUCUUCUUCUCCCGAUUGACCAGAAGCGCUCGGCGUUUUUCAACGUCAGCCUCUUUUGACGCCUGGUAAAUCGGGAGAUCCUUCACAAUAUAAUGCUCCCCAGGCACUACCUCCUUUGGCAUCUUCCUGGGGAGAAUGUUGAUGACGUACUCUUGGGACUCCCGGACGACCGCCAUUAGGUUCCGCGCAAUCAGCAACGUCUUGCACUGCCUCUCCUUGGCGUCUAUCUCAAAAAGCUUGCUGAGACAGCCAAAAGACGCCUUUUCCACCCAAUCCACGAGGUGGCCCCUUUUUUCCGCACCUGCAUUAACAGCAACAGAGGUUGAGAAUACCAUCCGGAGAGAUCAACAAGAAAACAACAAGGUAAAAAUCAGGACAGAAGUCGCAAAGCAAACUUACCCGGAAUCUUGAAGGAAUAGUUUGGAGAAAAGGGCCUCGCCGGAUGCCUCGACCCCGCCCACGUACCCCGGACCAUCACCCGUCCCUUUGCCCCUCCCUUCGUCGAGUCGGGCAGUUCCGUCACCAAUUGAAGGGAAGGCAGGUGCGCGGACAGGCUGAAGAUGUCAGCUUUCGCCUUCUUCAGUGAGUAGACGAAGAACACCUCCAGCAUUGUAAGGUCGAGGUUGUACAGCAUGUUGAUGAUGCUGCAUCCCAUCAGCACCCGGAUAAUAUUGGGAUGAAUGAAGACGGGUGGAAUCUUAGUGAAAUGGAGAAACUCCAUGAGCAACGCUAGCAGGGGGAACCGGAGCCCUGCAUUGAAUUGUUCCUUGCAGAAGACGAUAGCACCUUGUUCGGCUUUCUCAGUAGGCACCACGUCCUCCCCAUGAAGAAAUUCAACAAUUACGCCAUUUGGAAUGCAGAAUCGAUCUCGAAACUCCUUCAUGCUCAACUUGUCUAUGGACUUUUCAUAAGCGUCGCCAACUCGCGCAGAUGAAGCACCUUUCUUCUUUGAAGACAUUUUUCAGGCCAAAAUUGAACCAAAACCUACAUACGAGAAAUGCAACAGUCAAACACAGCCAAAACAACCCCACAAACCCUACACAAUAACAACACUCAGAAAACCUCGCACCACCAGUAUACCCAUUCCAAAAUCCUUGACUUUACCCCAACAAAAAACCCCCCAGAGCACCAACAAAUGCCAACAUUCAAACAAACAGUCGUAAGCAACUUACCCAAACAAAACCCAAACAAAUCAGAAACCAAGAUCAAAGAACCAACAAACGCAACAAAAGGAACAACAAUAGCAAAAGUCUACGUACCAAAUGAAGCCCUGAAGGAGAAAGGUUGUUGUCUCGAUACAAAAUUACCAGCAGCAAACGAAUGUCGCGACACAAAAUCACCGGUACAAAAGAGCUUUCGAGUUUCUUUACUCAGAGAAGCAAAGGACACAAUAGAAGUAGGAAGAAGAAAGGCUCUCAAGGGAAUACAGUAGAAAAAAUGCAAAAAGAAGGUACAGUGCGCUAUUUAUAGGAGGACAGGCCCUCGGAAAGCCAAACGUCCAAACAAAUGCCAUCAUUGAAAUGACAUAUUGCCUGGGGAUACACAGGGUCGGCGGCUCAUCAUAAAAGCCUUUUUUGGCUUCCGCACCCCCACUCGCCACGUGGCCCAGUCAAACGAAGAGACCUCUUCAGUUUUCAAAAAGGCCAGUUAUUUUUUAACCCGCCCAUUUUUUGGCAAAAUAGGCAAGUUAAAAAGGGGGGCAAUGUAGGGACCCCUCCCUCUGGGAAACACGUGGCACGCAUCUCACAGUGACACGUGUUAUCAGCCGGACCAUCAUCAUCCGGAUUCCCCCUAAGGAUACGCAUGAUGCAGUUCUCCUAUCCGGACCGCCUCGAGGAAAGGCAAAUGACGUUUCAGCUUCUCCUAUCCAAGGAAGAGCAAACGUCGCUGGCAGAGCACAGACAUCCGGACAACCUUCAUAAUGCAUCCGCUCCACAAUACAUUCGGGUAAUCAGCAUGUGCCAUCCGGAUAUAAUCGUCCGGAUCAUCAAUUAAAGUAAAGCGAGUCUUACACGCUAUCACAACAAACGGCCAUGGCCCACAUCCUGCCACCUUCAGAGUGAGAAGACAAGAUGAAAUGACAGCAAGUCACCUCCCGCGAUCUCUGACAGCCGCAUCACCUACCAUGGUUUCUGACAGCCGCUCGUAGGGUGAUGAUGCUCCUACUAACGCCUAUUGUCAUCAUAAACAACAUAAAAUAUCUCCUCACCAUUAAUGAGAGGAACAGUACCCCUGAAGCUGUAUAUAUAUGCCUUCACACGAAGAAGGAAGGGAUCCCCCUGGUAACCUCCUAAUACCUGGUAAAAGGUCAACUGAUUUAUAUCUCUCUCUCUGACCAUGGCUAACAAAACCAUCGGAGGGUGCGUCCGGACACCCUGUCCGGAUGCCUUCUUGCAGGUAUAACGACUGGAUCAAGAACCUUUAUGGGUUGAAAUCACGUAUCCAUCCAUCUGGCAACUACGUGGAUCGUCAGAGACGCGAGGUAUCAACAAUGUUCACGUUGUGUCUUAAGGGCAUCUUGCUUUAUCAAAUAUUUAAUUUAUGUACUAUCAUUUUGAUAGACAUUAAAAUUAAUUAUUUCAAAAAAAAAAAAUCGGUAGAAAAUUUCCCAAACCAUAAUGCUCGAGAGAGUUACACCACAUAUUUGUAGCUUAGGACCACGGGGUCUCACAAGUCAUAUCCAUAAAGUUUUUGUACUUGAUUUGUCUAUUUGGCCACCAAACAUACAGAAAUUGUAGCUCAUAUUUACUAGUUUAAUUAAAGUGGCAUUUAUUUUUUAUUUUUGUCAUGGACUAUGUACUAGGAAUCGAUGCUGGAUUCCUACUGCAUCAUUUCUUAAGUAUGAUACUUGGGUCAUGGACAACAACUUUGUUUUAGAGUUCUAAUGAGUUAGAAGCCCAUUUAACAAGUCGGAUUAAUUUCCCAUACGAUUUAUAAGUAAUCUAUUACUUGAAAAUUAUCGACUUAUUUUGUUCUUGAGUAAUUACUCAAGGGUGCAUUAAGUGGUAGAUUUAACAUUACGCUUAGAGAGAAAAUAUGUUGAUGGCUUCUAUAUAGGAUGAGAACAAAACAAGUUUGGGAUGAGUCAUCCCAUCUCAACUUGGUUUUAAUCAUUUAAAUUUAUUCUUGUCCUCCUCCCUAAAAAUAAAUUUAAUAAAGCACCUUAAGGCCAUUUACCCUUUUUCAAUUUUGUAAUUUUAAUUACAUUAAAAUAAAUAUAAUUCAUAACUAAAUAGUAUAAUUUUUACAAUUUAUAUGAAUUUUUUGUUUUAAUUAUGAUAAAAAGAGGGAAAAUAAAAAAAAAUAUUAAUAGUUUUUAUUUAGUUAUAUAUAUAUAUAUAUAUAUAUAUAAACUAGGUGUAACGAGACAAUACAAUAUCUAAACCCAUACAAAAGCCCCUACCCAAUGACAUUUAUCUUUAUCUCAAAUCGAUUCUAUUAAGAGUGGAUACCUGAAAUAAAACCCGCUUCAUUGACAUCCAUAACACAAAUAUAUAUAUAUAUAAACAAAGUGGAGCGAGGUGAAACAAUGCAAUAUCAUCCGAACCCACACCAAAUGGAGUUUUAAAGAAAAAUCUCAAAACUUCUACCUAAGGCAUUUAUCUUUAUCUCGAAUUGAUCUUAUUAGGGAUGGAUGCCUGAAAUAAAACAUGUCUCAUUGACAUCAAUAUUUCCACUAUAAUGUAUCUCUUUGGAUGUUUUAAAAUAAAAUAAAAGACAAAAAAUUGGAAAAGUAAAUUAAGAGAAAAAUUAAAAUAAAUAUCAAAAAAAUAAACUAGUAAAAAAAUAAAAAAUAAACCGAAAAAGAAGUUGGAAAAAAAUUUUAAAACAAAAGAUAAAACUCUUUGCAACUCCUUAAUGCAAUUUUAUGUUUUAUGUAUAUAGACCAAUUUGUUUUAUAAUUUUAUACUAACUUGAAAGGGACUACUCUAAAAGGAAGGACACUCGAUUAAAGUCAAUACAUCCCACCGAGACAGAAAUCAAAAUGGAGUCGCAUUCACUCAAUCAAAGACAAUUUAAUUCGAUCCAUUUAACCAUGGUCGUGAGAAAGUCAUAGAUAUACUCCUAAAAAAUAAGUGGAUACUAACUCCUCAUGUCCACAUCUAUCUAGUUGUAAUUAAGUUAAGGUAACUCAUUGAAAAAAUAAAUAAACUUAGGAGUGUUUGAUAUAGGGGGAAUAAGGAAUGAAAAUGAAUAUUUUAUUUCUAUUUCUAUUUUUUGGUAAAUGAAAAUAAAUUUAGUGAUUGCAUUUUUAGAGUUUGUAUGAAUUUAGGAAUUCAAUAUUUAAAUUAUUAUUUGUUUCCAUUCUAAUGAAAAUUAAAAAAAAAAAUUAACAAUAAUACCCUUAUAUAGUUUAAAAUAAAAUAAAAAAUUCAUUUUUUUAAAAUAAAUUUUGAGAGUUCUUUUUUCUUAAUAAUAAAACUAAAAAAAAAAAGUCUUAUUAUGGGAUAAAGAAAUAUCAUAACUUGAUGAAUGAAAUGGAAGGAUAAAAUAGUAAUAUUACUUUUUAUCUAUGUACUUUCUCUCCCUUUAGAUUGAAAAUAAAACCAAAAACAAAGAAAAUGUCUCAAACAACUAAAGUCCUUAAAAUUAACCUUAUCUUAAUCUACAAAAAAAAUUCCUAGAAGUCCUAAUAUGAUGAACCAAAAUUAUAAACCUUAUUUCCUGUCAAAUCCAAACUCAUCUAUAAUCCAUGAACUUCACCAUUUCUAAAGCCUACACUCUUUAAACCACCUCACUUUUUCGAGGUUUGUUUAUAGGCAAAAAAAAUAAAAAAAUGUCUCAACUUUUCCUACAAGAUGUUUGUCUUUGGAGGAAAAAAAACUCUCAAAUAAUAAUAAUAAUAAUAAUAAUAAUAAUAAAGGUGUUAAAAGGAAAAGAAACAUUUACCUAGGGGAAUCAUAUCAAUUGGUGUUAUUAACAUAACAAGUGAAAUGAUCAUUUUGGGAAUAAUUAUAUGACUCACAAAACAAUACAUAUAUUUAAAAAAUUUGUUGUUCUUUUCUCCAUAUUUUUUCAAAUUAGUAAUUAAAGACCCAUUUUUCCCAUUAUUUAUUCUUGUCUUUGUGGAUUGUUUUAAAAAUAAUUAUAAAAAUAAGGAGAAUGAUUGAUUAAAAAUAAAGCAUUAGAAAUAAAAUUUAUUUUUAAUAAAUAUUUGGAAACAUAAAAAACAAGUUGAGAAUAUUCUAAACUCCCAAACAUAUUUUUGUUCUAGAAAAAAAAAAUCAUAAAACUAUUUUAAAAAUUGUCCCUAUAAACCAGUUUUUUAGAACAAGUUUCUAAAACAUUACUAAAUAUAUCCUUAAUUUUCCUAUUGAAAUGCCCACGUCCCAACUCAACUCUGUGACAUAAAGUAUAAUAAAUUUAGAAAUAUAUUUUAAAGUAUUAUAUUUUAAGAAGCAUUUUUAAGAUUUGCUAUAUUUGUUUGUACUAUAAUUUAUAUCUCAAAUUACUCACAUAUUCUUGAAUGGUUUCCAUAUAUUUAUUUAGAAAGCAUUAUAACUUUAGUUCUUUUAACAAUGUGUAUUGCUAAUAUUGUAAUCAUAUACUUGAAGAUAUUAUUAUCUAAUAAAAUUUUAAAGGAUAUAAUAUAUAUAAGGACUUGAAAGAAUAUUCUUGAGAAGUUUGCAUGUAUCUAAUUUGAAAUGAAAAUGAAACUCACUUUACAAUUGAUGACUCAUCCUCAAAUGAGAAAAGUUAAUUCCGGGAAUUGAUGACUCAUUACCCAUUCCCUUCAUUUCAUUAUAUUAAUCAACAAACCCUACGUAAACCAAUUCAUGCCCUUAUGUGGUUUUGGGCAUUUUUUAUAAUUAAAACGUGGCAUGAAAGUUUGGUAUGGUGGUUGGGGGUUAUCAUAAAUUUGAAAGGGAUGCCCAGGUUCCGUCCAAAACUUAGACGACUUGUUCAAUGACCGUCCACAUAUAACUCAAAAAUUCCAUCACUAAUCUUUUGUGGCAAAACCCUCAAAUCCUUUCUUUUUUUUAAUAAAUUUAUAUGGCCUCCAUCAUUAAUCCAAAAUUCAAUUUGAAAUUUGAUUCUAGAAAAAAGUAAUAUGACUUCUCGUCCUUAAUCCUAAAUUCAAUGUGAAAUUCGAUUCUGGAAAAAGGCAAUAUGACUUCUAGUCCUAAACUCAGGUUGAUCCUAUAAAUAGGAGCACAGCCAACGAUGGUGGAGGCACGCCAUCUUUCGAUUUCUCUUCUUCUGUUGUUUUUCAUUUUGAAAUCAGCUAGCACCAUGGAAACCCUAGAAGGUUUGAAGCACGCACUUAAGCCUAUUAGAAUUGUGCCUAAAGAAGGUGAUGAAAAGGGAAUGGUGGUUAAGCGUCAUGAUCAGGAAGAUCAUCAGCCAUUGAGUCCAAUGGCUCGUUUGUUUCAUGAACCUGACUGCAAUCUCUAUGUUAUCGCCAUGAUAGGCUCGAAAACUCGCAUCGACCCUGACGUGGUUAAAGCCAACCUGGUGCAUAGUCUCCUUAAACACCCUCGUUUCUUUAGUCUGCAGGUAAGGAAUGAACUUUCCAUUUAGUAAUUUAAAGCUACAUUGAACAUUUUUGAACUAAAAUGCAGCGGUAUUAUUCCAAAAGGCAUUGUGAAAUUUUUCAGUAUUAUUAAUCUAUUUCCAUUGUUUGCUAACCAUUAAAUCAUCUUCAAAAUCAGGUUAUGGAGGAGGAAAAGGGAGGAGAGAUGAAAUGGGUUCCGACAAAAGUUGAUUUGGAAAAGCACGUUAUAGUUCCAGACAUGUGUUCCGACAUGGAAACAUCAUCAGAUAAGUACGUGGAAGACUACAUUUGCAACCUCACUAAAACAACCCUAGACUUUUCCAAGCCAUUAUGGGACCUUCAUCUCCUCAACGUCAAAACCUCCGACGCCGAGGCCGUCGCCGUUUUCAGGAUUCACCACUCCCUCGGCGAUGGCACGUCUCUCAUGUCUCUUUUACUUGCAUGCACACGCAAAGCCUCGGAUCCCACGGCUCUGCCUUCGGUUCCCAUGAUGAAGAAACCAAAAUCAUCGGCUGGGUCUGGAAAGUGGUGGAAGGCUUUCAGACUGGUUUGGAAUACGAUCAUCGAUGUUUUGAUGGUGAUCGCCACAGUGUUGUUCUUGAAGGACAGAGACACGC
rnacentral:lncRNA from 1 species